rnacentral:lncRNA from 1 species
UGUACAUCAUCUCCGUGAAGGGAAUCAAGGGGCGCCUCAACAGGCUUCCUUCUGCCUGCGUUGGUGACAUGGUUAUGGCCACUGUCAAGAAGGGAAAGCCUGACCUCAGGAAGAAGGUCAUGCCGGCUGUCAUCGUCAGGCAGCGCAAGCCGUGGCGCCGAAAGGACGGUGUCUUCAUGUACUUUGAAGGUAUGGCUGAGUUCUUAUUGUGAAUGGGUCAUUCUGUGCUAGUGUACUGUAGUUAUUUAAUCUGCCUAGUGAGUUUGCUGUCUAUUAAGCUGGUAGUUGCCACUGUUUAAUUUUUUGAAACCACUUGCUUUACAUGUUGUAUGGAAUUUCUGUGAAAUUACACUUGCCUGUUGUUACUUGCUGGAAGCAAAUUUAAUUCAUCAUGUACAUAUUCUAUGUCAUUGUUUCAUUAUUAUCACAUGAAGAGUGAACACCUCUUCACUGUGGUCAUUUGUCACAAUGAAGCACAUGCAAAUUGGCCAGAAGAACAUAGUACAAUCUUCUGUUGAAUUAUGUAAUUACCCCUUGGCACAUGUUAUAAGCAUCUCAGCUGAUAAACUGUUGACAUCUUUUCUUCGUCCAUGUGAGAAUGCUUUAAACCACUGCCUUUUUCCCCUUUCAUGUGAGAAUUGUUUAGUCCUGAAGCUGUCUGAGGCUUUCCGUAUAUUGCAUUCUGAUGCUUUGGCCAUUCAAGUGUUGUUGGAUCACAGUGACUGAUUUUGUCAAAAUUCAAAUCUAAUGUUUCUAUGUCAUAUUUGCAGACAAUGCUGGAGUCAUUGUGAACCCAAAGGGAGAGAUGAAAGGUAUAAAUCAGUUCUUGGUAGAUUCAAUUUUGCUCUGCAUGUUGCAUCAAUUACAGGCAAUUGGAAGUUACAAUCAUUGAAUCUGUAUUAUACAUGCUGUAUGUGAUGCAAUGCUUCUAGCUGAUUAAAGCAGAUCAAUAAAUUUAGCUUCAGUAGUUAUUUCCAUGCAACUUCUGACUAUAUCAUAGCUGGAUGAACAGCCUGACUGAUUCAAGCAUCCAUUGGUUGUGCAGGUUCUGCCAUCACUGGACCGAUCGGGAAGGAGUGCGCCGACCUGUGGCCCAGGAUUGCCAGCGCCGCGAAUGCCAUCGUCUGAUCUGAUCGCCGGAGCAGCUAGAUGAUCAAAGCUUUUGAUAGCAUGUCCCUCUUUUCUUCUAGUUUACUUGUGGCCCUUGAGGAUGAGUUUCCUGGAUUAUGUAAUGCUGCUGGAUUAUUGUCUGUUAGGUUUAAGAUUUUGCACUGUGGUUUGGCUGCUAAGAUUUGUUCAGUUUGAACCUGAAAGAGCUUUUGAUCGGAUUUAUCUCUGUUGUGUCAAGUAUUCACCUGAGAAGUCUGGCUUGAAUGUUAAUUAGUCUGUUGCUAAGUGUGAGCUUGUGAUGAACUGGUGCGUGUUUGCCAUUUUUUUUCUAAGCAUUGCUGAGAGGCCAAACUGAGCUGCAAAUAUGCAGUUGCCAUGAACAAAAAACUUGCAGUUCUGGAGAAUGCUUGGUCGAAUAAUUUGACGAUAUUUGUUAUUUUACCGUGGCAUGAGGAAACAAGUUAGUUGGUGAAUGUGACAAGGUGUGCCGCCUUGACAACUGUUCGAAAUGCAGAAACUAAAAAAAAUUGGAAAACGGUGCUUUGCUUUUCUAGGCCAAGUUGGGAGCCCAAGAACAUGGACCGAUUCGUGCUCUGUAUCCCAAAAAAUCUAUGAGAUGCAUGAAGGCACAAACAGCAACCAUGAGAGCAUUGUAAAAGAGAAUAAGCAGCGAGCAGCCCAUUUUGACUUCAAGUUUAUCUAAGGAUGAACGGCAAAUAAAGAAGCAAAGAAGCAGAUAGUUUAGCGAGUUGGCACGUCUUGAACCAGGUACAUCUAAACUCACUUUUUAAAAAAUUAUUUAAAAUAUCAAAAAAAAUAGAACAAAAUUCCGCGCAUACAUGUUUGCAAAAAAAUGUCCGCUGCACAAAGUUCUAUGAAAAAAUUCUUUUUAUUUCAUCACUGUAAAAAAGAUAAAUUUUAUUUCUAAAUAGUAUUCGAUGACACAAUGUUUUGUCUUUCUUGCACAGCCCAAAAAAUGUUGCUUUUCUGUGAAACUUUAGAAUAUGGACAUAUCCGCAUGCACCUUUUCCUAGAAUUUUGGGAAACGUUUCCCACCCUCAAGCGAUUUUCUGAUCUCUUCCUAUGCAUUUUUUUCUCUCCUUACUUUUUCUCUGGCCUUAUCGCUUCUUCAUCUCACCUCAGUCCCCACACAUCUAAAAUUACUCUCCCACUGACGCAACAACCACAAAUAUCUAGUAUCUUUCGCUGGAAUCAGCAUUAUCUUUUUGCUGCAUGAGUGCUACAGCCAGUUUUGUGCAACCCGCAAAGCUACAACCACAACCAAUCAUGAAUAAGUUUCAAUCGGAGAUGGCGGAAUCUAGGGGGUCAGUCAGUGCUGCAACCAUUGACAGAAAAGGCUUCAACCAUAGAUAAAAAAAGCUUCAACCAGGCACUGAAAAAAGAAAAGGCCGGAAACGUUGACAGAAAAAGGUUCAACAAGGAUACCGUGCAACGAAAAAAAGCUUCAACCGUUGAUAGAAAAAGCUUCAACGGUAGAUGCAAAAUAUUCAACCAGGACACUGCAAUGGAAAAAGCUACGACCAUUGACAAAAAAAUGCUUCAAUUGUAUAUGAAAAAGGCUUCAACCGGCGAUAGGAAAAGCUUCUUGGAGGCUCGCGCUUCCAUGAAAGCUGCAAUGGCCCAGCAAACUGCUACAUGAGUGCUUUUUUAGUUGUAAAUUUAUACUAGAAAAUAUGUAGAAAACAUAUAACAAUUUUGCUUCCAUAGUUUUUUUUUGUUGUGAGCUUUUUUUUGCACAAUGCUACAUACGUUCUUUUUUCGUUGUAAAAGUACUGAAAUUAUGUUACAAACAUAUGAUUUUUUUUAAUUUGUGUUUUUUAGGCUUUUGUUAUGCACUUUUUGCUGCAAUGCUACAUACAAAUACAGUUUAACAAUAGGCGCAGAUCUUCUGCGUACAUUUUUUAUUGAAACUAUUGUGUGCACAUAGCAGAGACAAGUCACAAUCAUCAUUUUGAUGGGCUCCACCCACGUGACAGCAUGCAACAUCCAUGGCGCAUGGGACAAGCGACGUCCGGGCGAUGCUGGUGGGCCACCAGCGUACAAAAAAGGAAGAAGAAAGGAACGAUGUGCGUAGACGAUCAGACGGAUUAAAAUAAUCGAAUCGGACGACCUACACGCGACCGGCCGAAACUUUUUGGGCAUUUUGAAAUUUGUUUUUUAAAAUGGGUUCAUAUGUAUUCGGAUUCAUCCAUGCACUUCUAAUAGUUUAUCUAAGUUUUUGAAUUCUCUGAAUAAGGGGUGCCAUGUUUGGUUUCAACUUGAUCNNNNNNNNNNNNNNNNNNNNNNNNNNNNNNNNNNNNNNNNNNNNNNNNNNNNNNNNNNNNNNNNNNNNNNNNNNNNNNNNNNNNNNNNNNNNNNNNNNNNNNNNNNNNNNNNNNNNNNNNNNNNNNNNNNNNNNNNNNNNNNNNNNNNNNNNNNNNNNNNNNNNNNNNNNNNNNNNNNNNNNNNNNNNNNNNNNNNNNNNNNNNNNNNNNNNNNNNNNNNNNNNNNNNNNNNNNNNNNNNNNNNNNNNNNNNNNNNNNNNNNNNNNNNNNNNNNNNNNNNNNNNNNNNNNNNNNNNNNNNNNNNNNNNNNNNNNNNNNNNNNNNNNNNNNNNNNNNNNNNNNNNNNNNNNNNNNNNNNNNNNNNNNNNNNNNNNNNNNNNNNNNNNNNNNCGUAUCACUAAAGAAAAACGCUCGACUAAGAGCAACUAUCCUUAAAAGAACUUAGCUCAUGUGUCUGAGAAAAAAACACUAUUAACUCCAACUUAGAGCAACUCGAUCAGUUCCUGUAUCCCAAAAAACAUCCCAUGUAUUGAAAAAUAAGUGCUCUCAGAGUAAGAGCAACUCCAACAACUUUCGUAUCUCAAAAUUGCCAGUCAGGGGAAGUUGAGGCCAAAAAAGCUUUUCAACAACUCCCUUGAACCCGGAAUAAUUUUAUGGGAUCCUCUAAACUAUCCUCAAACACGUCGUGUGUUUAUGGGAAGAUGAUCUUUCACUAAACUUUUGGCGUGCCAAAACUUCAGCUCCUCGCCUGCACCAAAGCCGUGCUGCCACACCACCACUACGAGGCCACCUCGCCGGUGUCGCGCAUCACCUCCUCCCCGCUCUGGUGUCCUCCCUGACGCGCGUCGCCUCCUCCCCGCUCUAGCGUCCUUCCUUGCCCUGCUCCUAACCCUACGCAUGCAGCUAAGGCAUUCGGAGAUAUUCUGGACCCACAUUUUCUAUGUUCCAAAAAAUGUAUGACAACAUCUUUGCUCAUAUUUUUUCCGUAGAUGAACAUUGUUGUACAAUCUUUUUUCAAGGACUCAUCCUCCGAUGAGGAUGAAGAAAUCGAACUUGUGAUCGCUUUGUAUGGAGACACGAUGGCAAACUAAGAAGCCGAAGUGGGUACGGUCAGUGCCUUGUCAGCUUGUGCUUCUUCAGAACAAGCAAGCCGGUCAUGACAAGCUACUAGAUAACUACGUUGGUGAGAAUCCGGUAUAUGAUUAGACUUUUAGAAGAAUAUUCUGAAUGUUAAUGGGUUUUCUUCUUGCGCAUUGCUUGUGUUAUCGAAGAUCACUAUCUGUUCUUUCAACAAAGAAGAAAUGCAGCUGGUCAACAAGGUCACAGUAGUUUGAAAAAAAAAUGGUUGUGUGAAUGCUUGCAUAUGGUUGUCGAGCUGAUAUAUUGAUGAUUGGGUUGGAAUGGCAUAGAGUACUUGCAUUGAUAGUUUGAUUUUUUUUUUGUAAAGUCCGUCGUUGGGAUAUUCAGAGAAGAAUAGCUCCAACUUUUUUUUUGACAAAAAGACUGUAAGGAAACCCCUACAAUAUAAUUGGUGCAACAAAUCCAAAUUGUAAGUAUCAUGCCUUGAACCAAGGUGGGUGGGAGGGCAUCAACCUCCUUUCACCACUAUGCUAAGCCGUAGUCUGCAUCCGAGCACCAAAUGAAGAGGACACUGCAAGACUUUUUAGAUGGGUGCAUCGAAAGGCUUUCCAAGAAUGCUUGAAAGUAUCGAUUGCAUGCAUUAGAAGUGGAAGCUUUGCGCUGCAUGGACAAUUCAAAUGAAAGGGUAAAAAUCAACUACAAUUCUAAAAGGUGUGGCAUCAAAUGACAUGUGGCUUUGGCAAUCAUAUUUUGGAUUCCUAGGAUCUGACAAUUAUCAGAAUGUUCUGCAAAGAUCUCAUCUAUUUUCAAGGCUUUCAGUUGGAGAGCCACCUCCCGUGAAUUUUGAAAUCAAUGAGCGUCAAUACAACAUGGGCUACUCCCUUGCUGAUGGCAUAUAUCCGGCAUGGUCAACUUUUGUGCAGACUUGGAAGAGAAGAGUGAAUAUUCAUGAUCGUGAAGGUAUAUAUGUCCCGCCACUCCCGUCUUUUGACAACGCAAAUAUCUUCCCAAUCUCUCAUGGUACAAUGUCACACAAUGAUGUCAAUUGUUUGACCUGAGGUGACAUGGCACUCAUGAUCUUUUAGAUGCAGUCACCACAAAAACAACACGCACAUCCAACAAAAAGAAGCACAUGAAUGAUCUUCAAUAGAUCUGUAGAAAUUUAAACUGCAAAAUCAAUCUAGAAUCAAAUUCACAAAGCCUCAAUAUAGCUAAUCAACAAAUAUCCAGCGGCGGCUCCGAGAGACCCUCAAUUGCCGAUCUGUUCAUCGGUGGAAGAAUAACCUAAAUCAAAGCUACCCCUCCUACACUGUCAAGGUAGUACAAAUAACACUAAAAGUAAAUUUUACAUAUAGGUCCGUAGACCAGCUAGUGACGAAUACAAACAAUGGAGCAAGUUGAAGGCGUGCCAUCGUCAUCGCCCCUCCCUCUUUGGAGUCAGGCAAACAUUGUUGUAAUAGACAGUUGGGAAGUCUUCGUGUUAAGGCCCCAUAAGACCAGCGCACUAGAACAACAACCACCGCCAAUGAAGAGAGGUGUAGAACAGAAGGAUCCAACCUGUAGACACACAAACGUAGACGAACGGAGCAGAACCAGUCAAGUCCACCGAAGACAAACGCCGACCAGAUCCCAUGAGAUUCGUCGAAGAUAAACCUCCACACGCCUUCCAACGACGCUUGAAACAUCACUGGGACGGGGGCUAGGCGGGGAGGACCUUAUUCCAUCUUGAAGAAGCCGCCGACUCCUCGUCUUCUUAAGCACGGCAAAUACCCUAACAAAACUCAGAAGAGCACCUAAAAACGGAGCCCUCCCACUGGCAAGGGUCGGGAUCCACUGCGCCUUCAUGGUCCAAGGACCAUAGGAGAUGAGGAGGACCGACGGUGGCGCGAGAGACAGGGAAACCCUAGAUGUGAGUUCACAAGAGAGCAGGAACGAAGGGGUACUAGCAUCUACUAAAUUACUAAGCUCUCAAGAAUUGAAGCCUUGGAAGAGCUUGGAUGUUUUCUCUCUCCAAAUGGACCCCGUUUAAUUUGUUAGGGGGGGGGGGGUCAUUCAUGAAGUUCAUGAAUAUUUUUAAGCAUGUGGAUAUUUUUCAAUUUGCUAACUUUAUUUCAAAAUUAUAACAUUUUUUGUAAUCUUUAAAUUUUUGAAGGAAUGAUGAUUUUUAAUUUAUAUUUUUUAAAAAAAUUCAAGAUUUAGAAAAAACCGUGAACAGUGGGGGCUCGAACGGGCGGAAGCCGGAUGAAGGCAGUUGGGCAAUUGGCGAGUGACCGCCGAUUUUACAUCUCAUGUAGGUGGAGAUGCAAAUUUGCAUCUCGAGGUGUUGUAUUUUACAUCUCCGGGAGGCAGAGAUGUUUUUUUUGCAUCUAGAUCAUAUGUUGGAGGUGGGUUUUUAGGUCUCAGGGGUGCAAAAGUUAGUUAUUUUUGCCUCUACAUCAUCUAUUGGAUGCUCUAAGUGUUCUUCCUUAGUUGUUUUGCCAAGCUUUUUUUUGUCUUGAGCUUUUUUGACUUGUGUCUUGGCCAAGCUGCGUCGCCCCACUCUACGCUUGUCUGCUAGUUCGGAUGAGUUGUCAAACAUGGGUGCUCCUUUGUUGCAAACGCAGUCCUGAUGGAUGUCGAGGAGUUAAGGCCGAAAGCCCUACUCUACUCUUGUCAACGUGGGUGCUCCUUUGCUGGUGUUUUAUUAGGACGUACAUGCGACUAGAAUAGAGCAAAGAAAUAGCUGCUGCCAGCCGUAAGGCCUUCCCGUCAAAAAGGAAAGAAAAAGAAAAAAAGAAAUAGCUGCUGCCAUCUUCUGUACUUGGGUCAGAUUUUGUAAAUUGAGAACUACUGAGGAUUAAGAAGAAAUACUGAUUGCAAUUGUCCUGUGCCAUGGAAUAUUGGGAAAAAUAAUUGGCAUCGUCGAUUCGCUCUUUUGGUCACAUCACAUCUACGCCAUUGGCAACCAUAGGGUUUGCAACUACAAAUGGGGCCAAGACCGAGGCAGGGAUAGUGGGCCUUUAGCGUUGCCCAUGCUUAGCGAGCCUCUUCUCGUUCUUUGAAGACUUCCACUUCAUUAUCUGGGGCGAGGCGCGCUGGAGUCGGAUUGCUAAGUCGAAGAAGUUGGUCGGAACGUCAUCCCCUGGCCACAAUGUCAUAAAUAUCUCUUCCAUUGUUGGCUUGAUCAGAUUGAGCAGCUCGCCAAUUUGCUUCAGUCUAUCGGGGAGAAGGUCAAGCCGGCUGGUUUCUUGGAACUGCGACCAGAAAGCCCGGAGUAUUUCCUGCUCAGGAUCAUUGAGCUCUUGAUAGUACUUGUGGGCGCUCGCAGCACUCUGGGGCAGGUCGGCGAAGAUCUCUGCGUGGUGCCAAAUCUGAGUUAGCGCGGCAUAGCUAUUGCUUCCAAAUCGACAUUGGAGAAGAUAUGGUUGACCAGCGACAAUCUGCUUGGCUUGCUCUACUUCGUCUCGAGCAUUGCGACGGACGAGGUUGGAUUCCUUCAGACUAUACUCGAGCAGUUUAAUUUGGUCACCCAGUCUGGUCUUCUCAGCCUUCAGCUGGUCACACUCAGUCUGGCUCUUCUUGACCUCCUGCUGAAGUAGGUCGGAUGCAUCCCGGGCGGCCUGGCACGCCUCUUGUUCUUGCACAAGUUUGGCAGUAGUCUUUUGGGCCUCUUUUUGGAUGUCGUGGAGCUGUUGGUUGCUAGAAUUGAGCUGGUUCCUCAACUCGGUCAUACGCCUUUCAACUACUGCAUUCAAGUUUGGAGGUGGUCAGCACAAAUUUUGCAAAUAUGCAAGUUAUAUAUGGAAGGAGUUGCCGUAGGAAUAGUCGAGCUUACCCAUGGAAUCACUAAGAGUUUUGGAGAGAUUUUCAUUCUUAUGCUCGGCUUCGGCGAGUAGUGUCUUGAGCCGGGCUAUCUCGUUCUCCAAACGCUUGUUGUCCCGAGCUGCAGCCUGUAUAAAAAAAUUCCAAGUUACAGGAAGGUUAACAUGGAUAAGGCCUCCUACUAAGAGAAAUUGAUCCCCAGGCCGACCUUUGCAGCCCGACACGAGUCUUGAGGGCUACUGGAUUUGCGUUAAUUCAAAGGUAGCUAGUACGUGUUACUCUAAGAAGAUUCAAUCCUAAGGUCGGUUUGCUAAAGCAACCUAAGUCUUGAGGGUUACUGCACAUCGGUUUAAUCUAAGUUUGAGUUUUACGAGGAGAGUAUCGACCCUCAAACCAGCCCUCCAGCCCGAUCUGAGUCUUGGGGGCUAUUGGAUCACUGAUUUUGACUAAAAAAAUCUAUUCCCGAGGAGAUUUUGAUUUUGAUUCCCAAGGUGGACAUUCUGCCUCGCUUGUGUCUCGGGGGCUAAUGCACAAUUGUUUUAUCUUAGUCAAAAUUAAGACGAACUACAACCCAAUUUGUGUUAAACCGGACUCCAGCUCGGGGGCUAGCGUGCACGAAAGUGCUAAGUUGAGAUACAUGACUCAUGGUGCAGACCGGAUUUAGUUCUGGGCCGCACCUUGAGAGCUACUGGCUAUACAUCUAUGUAGAAAUCAGAUGCAUAAGUAAAAUUACCUCCAUCCCAGGACCAAAGGCGCCCGUCAUCCGUAUAACGCCGAGCUGCAUCUCGUGGGCCUUGUCAUUCAGGUACUUCAUCGCAUCUCGCUGGGCCUCAUUCAGGUAAUGGUUGACCCUCGAUUUCUGGACUUCCCAACGCCCCAAUACGGGCGCGACUUCUGAACCAUUGAUUGACAUCUCGCCAGGAGGCUGCUGGGUCAGGACCACAUUGCCCGAUGUGUUGGGGCCAGACAAUUGCAAGGGCAUGUCAUCUCCAAUGACUGUAUUGACUAGUGGCCCAUGGCGUAAGGUCGGGACAACGACUGGCGGCAGCGGCGGCGGUGCUUGGAGCUCUUGAGUUGAUGGAGCCGGGGAGUUAACCACCUCGACAUUUUCUUUAGGCCCGAUCUCCUGGUUAUCAAAUCCAGGAGCCCCGGGCUGGCCUUGUCCGUCUGCAUUAGCUGCAGGCGGGCUUCUUGAUGUGGCAUCUCCAGAUGGCGCCAUUUUCGACAUCGACUUGAUCUUUGAGAGUAUAGUGUUGUGGACUUGCUCUGUGUUUCUAAGGUAGGACAUGUGCUAGGCAGUAUAUAUAGCCAUCGACCAGGGGCUAUCGAAGGAUGAUAUUAAUUACAUUCAAUAAAUUUGAAAAAGGAAAUACACUAAUGCAUACAAUAAACACCAUUUUAUUUAUAGUGACAGUGCAACGCAUACUAUAAACCAUGACAUGUGCAAUUUAUUAUAAGAUUUCGCAGGGGUACAGGUAUAGUAUAUGUUGAAUGCCACAUUUAAUAUUACCCUUUUUUGGCUUUCCACUAUCUGGCUCAUAAUCACCUACCAUAUGCAAAGGUUUCUACCCGUUGCGGAGAGGCUGACCUGCAGCUCAUUUUUCGUCAUGAGAAAACGACGAGCAAAGACGAAAAAUGCCAUGAAACAAAAAAUAAUAAUCUCGAGAACCUUCGGUGCUUUCAGUGUGACAUGCUUAAUUUGCCACAGGCUUUUCUUUUUGCAUUUUUGGCGCAGCUUACAUGAAGAAAAACUGUGGACGAAUCGUGACCAGUUAAUAUAUGUUGUUUAGAAACUGUUUUGAAAUUUGAAAUUUAGAAAUUAGAAACCCUAGUUCUUGGGCUGUUUGCUCGGGUAAGAUGGGACCCAACAAGCAAAACGGGCUGAAUGUGUGUGCGUAAGCCCAACGUGAGAUGGUUGGGCCUUCCUUAUCCCUCGUCCCACUCCCACGGUCCCACCCACCUCUCUCCCUCCGUCCUCGUCCACACUCUCUCCUCGAUGUCGCCUAUCGCGGCGCACCGAGCCUCUCCGGCCAUGUGGUCCCCGCAGCCUCCGCCGCCCCGCCUCCAGCUCCGGCGACCGGCGGGGACGCCCCUUCACUCCUCGCGCCGCCUCAGCCGCAUCGCCGCAUCGCAGGAGGACCCGCUGACCGCGCUGACCCGCGUGCUGUGGGGCCGCGCGCUGCCGCCGUCGCAGCUCGUGCUCGCCGUGCGCCACGGCUGGACCUCGGCGUGGCGGCUCCUCAUGCGCCAGCUCGCGCCCUCCGACCCGGCCACGGGCGCCUUCACCCGCACCCCGUCCCGCUUCCCGGCCGUCGCGCAGCCCGCGCCCGUCCCCGGCGCGCGCCUCCACCUCUACGUCGGCCUUCCCUGCCCCUGGGCCCACCGCGCGCUCCUCGUCCGGGCCCUCCUCGGCCUGGGGCCCCGCCUCCCCGUCUCCGUGGCCGUCCCGGGCGACGACGGCGCGUGGUCCUUCACGCCGGAGAGCCCCGACGCGCUCUACGGCUCCCGCAGGCUCCGGGACGUGUACGCCGCCCGGCGCGGCGGGUACGAGGGCCGGGCGUCCGUGCCCAUGCUCUGGGACGCCGACCGCCGCGAGGUGGUCUGCAACGAGAGCAUCGAGAUCGCCAAGUUCCUCUGCACGCUCGUGGACGACGGCGCCGGAGGCCUCGACCUCUGGCCGCCGGAGCACCGCGAGGAGAUCGACCGCUGGUACGGCGUCAUCUACCCGAGCGUCAACAACGGCGUGUACCGGUGCGGGUUCGCGCAGAGCCAGGCGGCCUACGACGCGGCGGCGGGCGAGCUGUUCGACGCGCUGGACAUGCUCGAGGACCACCUCUCCGGGUCCCGGUACCUGUGCGCCGGCGCCGGCGUGACGCUGGCCGACGUGUGCCUCUUCACCACGCUCAUAAGGUUCGACCUGGUGUACAACCCACUGUUCCGGUGCAGCCGGAGGAAGCUGGUUGAGUACCCCAGCCUCCACGCCUACAUGCGGGAGAUCUACCAGUUGCCCGGCGCCGCCGAGACCUGCGACAUGGCCGCCAUCGCCGACGGGUACUUUGGGACGCUCUUCCCGCUCAACCCCGGCGGGAUCCUGCCCGUCGUGCCGGCGAGCUGCAGCCGGGAGGCCCUCAUGAAGCCUCAUGGCAGAGAGGCAAUGCCUUCUGUUGCUGCUGCUGCUGCUGAUGGUAGGCAGCUAGGAGCGGCUGCUAGUGUUGUUGGCUAGGAUUACAGAGUGUAGCUGAAUUGUGUAGCACAUCAAAUUACUUACUGAAUAAUACCUUGGUACAUAUAGAGGAUGAAACAAAAUGGCAGACUAUUACUGUGACCGAGAGUUUCAUGUCAUAUAAAUGCUUUAUUAGCAAUAUAUUCUGUUGGUCGAAAGACUGAUACAUUGACAACAAUGUGAGGAAGAUUCAAGAACCUUCUACUAGUAAAUAUUGUGUAUGGCAUACUGGUCUCCAUACAUUUACAUCCAGUCAUGAUGCUAAUAAUAAUAAGGCAGUCAGGCCCUUUUACUUCAGAUAAUCGUAGCUCGUCGCUGAUAGUUCAGAUUGUAUCAUAACAUCGAUGCCCAAGGUGUCAGUCCUUGCUACAUGGUCGUUUCAAAAGGCUUGCAACUGCGAAGCGAUAAAAUGUAAGUUUUAGAACCAAGGAUUCUCACUGAGGACAUUGUAUAUAAAAACAUGCAUCUGGAAAAUAGAAAGUACGGAAAGACUGCUGGGUAGAGGUAAAUAUUACCAUUGUCAUGAUUUGGUAUCACCCUCUUCUGUUUCCAUGUAAAGUUUGUGCUCUCUAAUGUACUCGAUUACUUCAUCGCAAGUAAGAUACUUUAUUGAGAGAUGUUUUCUUAUACAUUCUCUGCAAUUUGAUAAAUGAAUACAGGAAUCAACAAUGAUACAUCAAAUAAAUGAAAAACUGAAGGUAGUAAUAGCAUCUAAUUAUACAGGAAGCAACAUAGAUAAAAAUGUCACCUUACUCUAGAUGAACUGAUCUGAUUUGGCACAAUCUCAUCAACCGAAAUGAUGUUAUCCUGAAAAACAUACAUGGGGAAACACACAUGUGAGUAAAAAUCAUCAGUCAGUCGGGUAAGUAAGCUCCUCAAGCUAGAAGUUUCUCACCCUGCAUUCUUGCAGUGUCUCGCUGCUGGAUAUUAGCUUUUGAACAUCUUUUCCUUCCCUACGUAUACAAACAACACCAAAGUCUUUACAUAUGGCCCUGACCUGGAAACAGAAAAGGUUGUGCAUCAAAGUUACUUCUUCGAUAAGGGCAAUUCAAACAACAAUUAAAUAGGACACUGUGAUUUAUAAAUAAGGGGUGCACAAAUUUUGUAUGUCGAAUUGUGGAUACCAAAAAAUGUUCAAGUUUUAUACCUGAUCUGGAAUCCAAACCCCUGGCGUGCUGAAUGACUCCAGAAGGUCAGAACCACAUAACAGCAUUACCCUGACAUCACCUGAGAGAAAAUGCAUGUUGUAAAGGACGGAUUUAUAUACAGGGCAAAUGCACCGACACAUUUGAAUGAUCACUGAACAGUGUGAGAGAAGGUAUUACUGUAUUGCAACAAAAAAUCUUGCCAUAUACCUUGAUCAGCUAAGCUGUCCUUGCACAGAGAAUUCGCAACCCUCGAGAGAACGGUCAAGGUGCGCUGAUAACCUUUCUGCAUUGCCUGUAUCAAGACACAAGAAUGUGUGCAUCAAAUACCCACAUCAUCCAAACUGAAAAUACAUUAUGUGACAGCGCAAAAUGAAAAAUGAGGUUACCUCCCACGGAUCAACCAUCACAAAAGAUGAGCUUCCACACGCCAAUUCGCAGAGGCGAACCCGGUGAGCAGCGGGCAAGAGGUCCUAACCAGCCCCAAAUUGCGAAUUCAGUCACGAGAACGGCGUCAACCGUGAACACAAAUCGAUACACAUUUCCAGUUCAUAGUACCUUCUUCUUAUACGCAUCGUUCACCGGGGACAUGUACCCACCCAAAACACAGUACCCUCGCUGCUGCAACUCAUCCUUCGCCAACUCUAUAUGAACGAAACACAUCAAAAGAUGGGGUAAGAGGUACUCUUCUCACUUUGCUGAUCCCAUUCUUAGGCUGUUCUUGAGACUUACUAGUACUAAACACAGUACCACACUGAAUCACUGAUAGGUGCAGCAGAUUAGCAAGUGUUGAUUGAGGCUUACCGAACAUGCGCAGGUGCAUGUAGGUGGGGGGAUUGAAGCUGCCGGUGGCCACCAGCACAACGCCGCCUCGGCUUCCCCCAUCCCUGCCGUCAUCAAGAAACGAACGGGGGAUCAGUCCAGCUAUACGCAUCAAGCAACCCAAGAAAAUCCGAGAGCAGAUUCUCUUCUUUCUGCUUACCGAUUUGGAUCCAUGGAGAGCUUCUCCGUGGGGAAGGGGAGAGGAGCUUCCGCCUCCUCCAUGGCCGCCCUCUGCAAAUCCUCAGCCGAGCCGAGCUGAUCUCUCGCUGCGGUUCUCUCUUCCUGCGGUGCGCCGUCGGCGGGAGGCCGGCAAUCCGGCCGGCGUGCGCUGGAGCAAGAUUCCCAAGUAGGAGGCUUUUUUUUAGAAUGCUGGACUCUGCGUGCCCGUGUGGGUGGGCAUCGCGAUAUGGGCCUUGUUGGGCCGCCGUGGUCAUGCCCAGGGGCCCCGCUAGAAUAAUAACAAACAGGUCCACGGAGAGAUGCAGCCUAUCAAACGGGCCGGGCCCAUGUGGCCUUGGGCAGCCCCGCGCGGCUCUAUAAAGCCGCCUCCUCGAGCCGCUAGGUUUUGGUGCUCUCUUCUUCCUCCUCUCCUCCUCCCUCGGCGGCGGCGCAGGCGGCGCGGAGGCGACAGGCGAAGGCGAAAUGGUGAGCGGAUCGCCGCGGCUCCGGCGGAGGCCUCCUCCCUCCGCGGCGCUCCUUCUCGUCUAGAUAGAUGGAUCUCGAGUUCUGACUGUUCCUUUGCUGUUGUUCUUGCGCAGACGAAGGGAACGGGCAGCUUCGGCAAGCGCCGGAACAAGACCCACACGCUGUGCAUCCGCUGCGGCCGCCGCAGCUUCCACCUGCAGAAGAGCACCUGCUCCUCGUGCGGCUACCCCGCCGCCCGCAUCCGCAAGUGUAAGUCCCGCGGCCAGAUCCCCUUCCCCUAUCUUAGCACGCGAUUCCGGUCCGUCGACCUAGCUGGUUUAGGUAGAUGUGUUGCUUGGUUCUCGUAUGUGCUGCCUGCGCGAGGCCGUGAUUGCUUAGGUUUUCGGUGCUGUUGGGGUAGCCCCGUCGCUGUUGCCUAGAAUCGCAUGCAUGCUAGCUCUGUGGCUCGACGUGGUACGCCUGUGGCUUGAUGUGCCGUAGUUUUUAUCUGGUUCUAAUUUGUGAUGAGUAGUUCUUGUUUGAUACGAUGUGUUAGCCUUUGAUCAUAAGCAUGAUAGUUUGAAGAUGCUGGGAAUGACUGUAAAAAGGAAUUCCUGCAAGACCCAACUCUAGUUAUGAAUUGUCAUAUAAGUAUCUUACCUAGCUCUGUUACACCUCUGAUAGAUGUUCAGCAACUAGAGCUAUUAAUAAGGUGGAUGACUUGGCUGUUUGUUCACAUGUAUCAUCGAUCUUAAAAUUUAAGAUGUUCAUCCUGUUCUAAGCAGUACACAUUUGUAGCCAGCCUUUAGUGAUGAAGUUUUAGUUAGUGCAGGGCAGUUAAGAUUGAUUGUCAUAUUGCUCUCACUGUCUUCUUAUAAGUUAAAGCACAUCUCUCAUUUAGUAAGUGUUAUGUUUCUUCUGCAUCUGAUAAGAUUCUGUCUUGAAAAACAGACAACUGGAGUGUGAAGGCCAUCAGGAGGAAGACCACCGGCACCGGGAGGAUGAGGUACAUGCGCCAUGUGCCCAGGAGGUUCAAGAGCAACUUCAGAGAGGGUAUACUUCUCUUCUCUCUUUAGUCUUGUUAAUAAAAUGUGCCAGCAUAUCCACCCAUUGUGAGCUCUGUUUUGCUAAACUGCAAUCCUGUGAAUGUGUUCUGCAGGAACUGAGGCCGCACCAAGGAGCAAGGGAGCCUCUUCCAGCGGCAACUAGGCGUGACAGUCUCCAUUUGUUGCCCUAAGCGAAGCCCUGAUCAUCAAACUUAGCUUUUUUGUUGUUUUCUACUGGAACUCUUAUGUUUCUAUGUUGAGAGGCAGACUAUAUGAUGCCUGGUUAUGUUAUUUGCACAAUUGUCGUGGACGUUAAUCCUUCAGUUUUGAAUGUUGAAUUGUGUCGAUGUCCUGUGUUAGAUGCUGCAUCUAUUGUUCAAUGUGCUAUUUGUGACGAGUCUGUUUUUUGUUGUUUCAAUAUGAGAUCUUUGGUCAAGUUUUUAUGCAUGUAAUAGACCAUGACAUGGUCACUCACAUAGUGUUUGUCUGUUCAUAUUUACGCUGUGCAGGUCCAGCAAGAACAUAAAAAUGCAACUUCCAAUGUGAAUAGCUCAAUGGUUCAUUUCUCUCUUCGCAUUUUGAGUUCCAACAUUGUCUUGUACACAGAACAGAGAGAUUGUAUGGAAGGUCAUUUUGAGUUUCCCAGCUUUGUUUUCUAACUCAAAACUCGUACUCCCUCCGUUGUAAAAUUCUUGUCUUAACUAAGACAAAAAAAUUAUUUUGCCAUGCUUCUUUGAACCUGCUAUUGUGUGAUUUAGCCGUAGCUCAGUGUUCAUCUUUUGUUAAGUAUCUUGAGUAGAUCACUGUCAUGUAUUUUGUUGCUAUGUUAGAGUGCAGUGUCUUAACUAAGACGAAAAAAUUGUGACUGAGGGAGUACAAUGUUAGAUUUUUAGCAUUCUUUGUUUGAAGAGCUAAACUGUUCUUUUUAACUUGGCUCACACUUUAUUUUGGUGCAGAGAUCCAAAAUAUUGGAAAAUAAAUUAUUUAUGACGUACACAUUUGUAUUACAUCUCGGAAAAUAUCAAACCCAAAUAUGAAUCAUGCCUUGAAAAAAGUCAACAGACUCAACAGUCAAAAUAGGUCGCUAUACCGCCUCGCUUGGGUUGUACUCCCUCCAUUCCAAAAUUUCUACUCCUAUAAAAAUGUGAGUUGGUGACGAUGGUGUGCCUACCUUCACGUCAUCUGACCGUCCAAUUCUCCUAUAAAAAUGUGAGUUGGUGACAAUGGUAUGUCUACCUUCACGUCAUCUGCAUAUUUGUAACGUAAGGCUAAGAUGGAUUGUCCUCAAGCCACUCACACUUCUGCAAAGACACUAGCAAGAUGCCCGUGCACCAAGAUGCAUUUUUUUACAAAACAUCUGUUGUGAUUGAUCUAUGCGGGAGUAAUUUCAUGUGUAAAAACUAAUGAUAUCACCUGUUGUAAUUGGCCCAUGCGGGAGUAAUCUCAUGUGUUCAAACUAAUGAUAUCUCGAGAAAGAUAAGAGAUAAGGUGAGGAGUGGGGCGUGGUGGUGAUUAAUGGUCGGAUUGAGUGGAGGCAUGAGAAUGGACGAUGCUGGCAGCGGUCAUCAUGCCAGAUUGUUCCAGAGGUUUCCUUUUUUAAUUGCUCAACAUUCAGGUUGUGGGGGAUAAAGAUAAACGAGAAAAGUCCUUAUCUAUAAAUGUGAAGAGAAAUAUGGGUAUUUUUUUAUAAAAUUAUAAUAGUUUGCUUUCUAUCCAGUAGCAGGAACGCCAUGAGUAUGCUUGCGUUUCAAGCGCAGAGGUUUUCGGCCGGAGGAGAGCUACUCGUUUCUGGAGGUGCCGAUGCCGAACUACCAAUACAUGACGAGCAGUGUUUGUGCGCUAGAUUAUUUUUUCAGUUUUCUUCAUGUUCGAUUAGCUGCGUAUUUCACGAUAUAAUCCCGCCCUUGUCUCUGAUUCUGAUUUUGAUUAUUCUUGUGGAUUUCAGAUAGAAGGGCACUUCGCAGCAGGGUCAUGACGAGAAAGGUGGAUAAUAUGUCUAUUUUUAUGUAGUUUUUUUUUAGAGAACUGACACUAAUUUCUCUCAAAAUAUGUCAAUUUGCAGAGAAUUUAGUAAUGGAACGGUCUACACUGAAGGCUGGUCUAGAAGUGGCAGUAUAUUUGUAAGCGUUGUGCCAAUUUUCAAUGAUCUGACUAAACUGAUCGUUUCUGAAAUUUAGCGAAAAAUUAUGUCAUUUUGCCACUACUGUUUUUGUACAGAAUUCUUGUCUAUUUGGGUGGUGCCAAACAGUGCCAAAUUGCAUAGUUGUAUGUUAUCUAGGACCUCUAUUGCAUAUGACCUAGAGUUGUCUCUGAAAUAUGUUGGCAUCACAUGGCAAUGAAAAUUACAACAUUAUUUAUUCCUGGUGUAAUCUUAAUCCAACAAUACACCAUUUGAUUCCCUACUUGUUAGGUGGUACAUAAAUAGUCAAACCAGGGUUCAUGGCAUCAACUAUUUUUUUGUUGUAUGAAUCACAAUGGUGCAGAGGCCGGGGAUUAGCCUACUUUUCAGGAAAAAAAUGUUCCUUUUUUCGACUAUGAGGUAGUAUUAGCAUAGUUGUACCGAAAAUUAUUCUGUAUUGUUGCAAGGCAUUUUGAGUAACAUGUAAUGUUUCUACUUUCUACACAAGUGAAAAUAAAACUUCUUCUGAAAAGCUAGAACAUAAGUCGGUCAAAUAUUGAGUUCCACACUUAUGUUGGGAGUAUCGAGGUAGAACUAAAUGGGUGAUGUUUCUUUUGCUGGGGUAGGAAGUAGGAAGCAGGUAGCUUGGAUCACAGCACAAAAAUUUGUAAAAAUUUGUUGCACCUUAGUAUUACAAUGUACAGGGUUGUACAACUUUGAUACUUGCUUUAGUGUUCGUGAUAUUUUCCUCCGGAUGACGAUGGGAGUGUGCCCCCUCCCAUAGAGCUCAGAGAGGUCUCUCUGUUGCCGAUGCUGUUGUAGGGCCUUCAUUUCAUGCGUUUUCCCGAUCUCAAGCAGGGCCAGGCCCAGGAGAGGGCCAGACCAUACUCUACAUCAUUGAGUACAUGGAUACUGACCAAGAAGUUCAUCCACGACCACCCCCAGAUCUAUGAGAAGAUCCCCAGCCACACCGUCAAGGUUUCCCCUCCGUACUGUCACCGAUCUAGGUCCUUAGUUAUUCAUUUUCCCAAUUUUUGCAUGCAAGGUUUUUCAUUGAAAAUUAGGCAACGGUGUUCUAUUUGCUGAUUGGUAAACUGAUGAUGUUGUGUGUAGAUAUCCCGAGGUACCAGCCUUGCAGACCUCAAGCUGCACCGUCGCCUCAUGUUCUUCUGAAGUCAUGUGACUUUUUAGAUGCCAAUUUAAAAUACUUUGUCAGGUUGUAAUUCGAGAAUCAUUUUCCAUUAAGAAGAAUUUAUUUAGUUAGUGUUGAAUCAAACCAGAGUCAUGCUCUAUAUAUUAUGGGGUUAGGUUACAUUUGAUAAUCCUUUGAGUGAUGGCAAUGACUUGAAAUCAAGGAUUAGGCCAUGAGUUUUAGUAACCCAGUGAGAUGCAGUUUUAACUCUACACAGAAUUUUUGAGGGCGUCAAUCAUUAUACAAGUUAACUUUAACCCUGUGAGAUGCAGUUUUAUGCAUGGUCUUGAUGAUUUCAAUUUAUCAAUGAGCAUCCAUUUCCUUAUUAUGCUAUAUUCCAAUUCAUGUCAUCCUAACAAUAUUUCGGCGAAGGACAUGCCUUUUUUUUGCAUUUCACAAGUACAUAAUUUGCUACAAUGAAGUAUUUUGAAUAGGACAAUAUAAACUGAAAUUUGCUACACUUCUAACAUACAUAUUGCAUACAUUGUCAAUGUACAACACAAGAAUUAGCACCAUGUGAUUACAUAGUUGGUCACUGAACACUCAAAUAACUGGAACCAUCAAAGAACACGACUUCAAACAUAAAUACCAUAUUCAUAACCACUUGUGCUUCAUCUCUCGAGAAUAGUGCUACCUCUAGACUUUUUGGGGGGUUUCGUGGCAACGCACGGGCACCUAACUAGUAUAAUUAUAUUUGGGAACAAGGGAGUACGUAUCUAAUUUCCAGCAAUCAUCAAUUUUACGCGGGGCGUGUCCAUGCAUAUUAUGCAUAGCUCAAUCAUAGUUUCUUUCACCCAUCUCGAGGAAUCAAAUGAACCCACAAAAAACUUACUUUUCUUUACGAAGAAUUCUGAACGUUGCAGUCUUCCAAACUUGUUUGACAUCUCAAUUAGGUGACAUCCCAAUGACUUUUUAGACGCUUCCCAAUUUAUUAGUAUAGUAAUAUAGAAGUGAAAAAAAUGAUUAUGGGUUUACCCUGGCAAGUUCAAUAAGCUCUUCCGUGGCAUUGUGAAAAAAAUCAUCUAUCAAAUCAUAGGGCACUUCGACAAUCAAAUCUCCACACUUGUCAGCUUACCAUGUUUCUUGACCGGCCCUGGAGGCCAGAGCUUUGGCAUUAUAACCAAUUAGGAGCAACAACCAAAUCAACAUCACUCAGACUCGCAUCUCAUUGAGUUUGAAGUACGAAUCUCAAGGAACAAGAGCAACGCAUGGAUAUGAAGAAGACCAAAGGCUGAAACCCUCACCAGCCUGUCGCUUCAAUUGGUUGACCCAAACGCCAAGAAGGACCGUGACAACAUCCAAACAGAGAAGACGAAAAGAGGCACACCGAGCCAGAGUUGGUCAGGUGAAGGCCAACCACAAAAAAACACCUCUGCAGAACCUCCUUCAGACAUGGGGAAGCUGCAAAAAAUCAUGCUCGACACCCCACACGAAAUGGCCACCAUAUGUCAAUGUCUCUCCCUAGAUCUCCUUUUGCCUUUGUGCAGCCGCACAAUGACACAAACCUAGCGAAAGCCCAACCAAACAACCCAUGUCAAAGCAGUGCUUCUCACCGGCGGACCGACAUGACACACCAGGAAAAACACUAGAGCACUCAGCUCCCUAGAAAAUAGGGUGCUUAGGGCAUCUCCAAGGCGGACCCGUAAACCUCCCGCAACCGUCCGGAUUGCGAUGUCUAGACCGUGAAAGCCAUCCAACGCCGACCUGUAUCGGUCCGCGGGGCGGCUCGGAUUCAAUUUCUCCCGCAAAUUGGAGACAAAGUGUGGGAGGUUUGCGGGAGUCCGGACACCCGAAAUGUAGGGCUCUAACACCCCAGCCCACCCAAUCCUCCCUCACGGUCCCAUUUCCUUCCACUCCGCCCCUUCUCCUCCUUGCUUUGCAUCUGCACCCUCCACCUCCGCCGCCAUUGUUGUUCAUCUCUGGCCGCCACAGAGGCAUUGCCGGACCUCCGCAACCAGCACCGAUGCGCCCGCUCGCCGUUCCAAAGGAGCUUUCAGCCCCGAAGCCGUUUGUACCCAGGUACACUCCGCCCCCUGUCGACGAACUCCAUGGCGGAUACCACGACCUCCAUGGUGUCAUUGAGCUUAUUUUCAAAUGAUAUGUCAUUUUUAUAGUAUGAAUGAAACCACACAACGUGAGGUCGCUGUCGUAUCGCUGGCACACUAUCAAGGUCGACGUCAUCAAGUACUGCAACUUGGUCAGUCAGCUCGAGUCAAGGUGGCAAUUGCACGCGGGCAUGGAGGAGAUGGUAAGUUUUAGUUCCUCUUUCUAAACCCGUUGAUUGAUUCAUUCACUCAAUGUUGGUCUACACAUUAUAUGUAGCCCGCACGCACCGCCAUGUUGUACCACAGGUCAGCGGGAUGGUCAUUUACAUGCACACACUUCUGGAUGAAGAUGAAGGGGAAGUAUGUGUGGGAGGACAUGAUCCGUUCCUGAAAAACUUGUUGGACAUUCGGGAUCUAGUCGAAUUUGAGACCUUGUUGUGCUAGAGUUAAUUUGCAUGCUAUGUGUGGAUGAUUUGUGCUAUUUUCUAUCCGAACUUUGAUGAAUAUCGGCCAGUUUGAAUGAAUUUCGUCUGUUAGUUAAAAUGCGGUUUGAAAUAUAUGCGGCUAGCGUUGGAUGGCUGCCUCUCGCAUCUGUGUCCGUGAACCGGCCCCCCUAUCUGCGGACGGAUGUGGGAGGUUUUUUGCUGGUUGCCGUUAGAUAUGCCCUUAGAGGCUGAGGGGAUUCAUACAAUUAUUGGACUUUUUGUUUCUCCAAUUGGUCAACUAUGAAUCUUGAAUUUUACGGCAUGAGUAGUUUAUAAAUGAUUUUUAAUCAUGUAUACAUUGAUUAUAUUUCAUCCCAGUUCUGCCAGACGUCGGCGGACGGCGGGUACGUAAUCAACUCGCAAUCGUCCCUGCUCCACUUGUUGUAGGUCACUGUCAUCUUUGUACAUGACUUGCACCACCGCCGUUUAAAUCUCAUGUAUGCCGCCGCAUAGACUGACGUCACAUAAAAGUUGCGUAUUGACAUGAACCUCAUAACGGUUGAUGGUAUCAAUGCAGCUCUAACAGCUGCGGUUGCUCUAGCCUCAUGGCAUCUUAAAAGUGAGGGUGACACUAAUCGAUGCAACGCCACUCUACUAAAUUAGUAGACACUGAUGCUAAAAAAACUCUCUCUGUAUUGAAAUGUAGGUCUGAUACGUCUCCAAUGUAUUUAUAGUUUUUUAUUGUUCCAUACUAUUAUAGUAUCAAUCUUGGAUAUCUAUUAUGCAAAUCUUGGAUAUAUACAAGUGUCAAAGUUUGAUAGCAGUUGACCAAAAGAUUAUAGCACCAGACGUGAUCAUGCUAAUUGUUCAUACACAGGAGUACAAAUGAUCACAUAGAGUAUUUGAAUUCACAGUGCCAUCUUGAUAGGGAAGAUCGUGCUAAUCGGUAUCAUCUCGACCGGGAUCGAUGCCCCCAAAUAUGUCUUCCAUGUUGAUAUCAUCUUGACCGAUAUCAUCAUAUUCGGGUGGAGUACAAUUCAGGUCAAAUUCCAUCUUGACUAUGAUUUGUCUUCCUCUUGUAGGGUGUCGUGCCAUGCCUGGGAUGGUGCUGCUGCUGGGGUCGAGCUGUUGCUGCCUUGGGUCGAGCUGCUGCCUAGAGAUGGAGGGUGGAGGAGGAGCGUGGAGAUUGAGGGCAUUGGAGACCGGAACUGGAGGGCGAGACAACCUGCUCCUGGCUCUGGGUCGAGCUGCUGCCUACUGCGGGCUUGAGGGGAGAGGCGGACUAGGUGGGAGGAGGAGGGGCGGAGGUGGAGGGCAGACCUGGGGGCAGAGGUGGAGGCCGGACCUAGGGGCGUAGGUGGAAGAAGACCAGAUCUGACGAGGAAUUCAAAAUUAGCGAGGGUAACCUGGUCAUUUGGCAGGUUUUCACUUAGUCGGAACAAGAAUCCGAGUGACCUAUAUUUAGGAACGGAGAGGGUAUAUAUUAUUUAUUUAGACUAAACUUUUAUAUUUCAUUACAGAUGGAAAUUAUCCUUCAACAUGUUUUUGUUAUAAUUGUCAAGUACAUAAUGAAACAACUAAAUAUUAAGAUGAAAUGUUGUUACUAUACAAUUUUAACAUCGCCUGCGAAAUUUACAAUUUCACUAAAUUUUAAGUAUAUUAUAUACUUGUGACAUAGUUGUUCCAUUUUGGGGCAUGAAAUCUUAUUAUUUUUGUGACCUAACCAAAUACUUAUGGAUAAGAGAAAAAUGAAAAAAGAAAGCAUAAAUACUCAUAGAAUAUUAGGUUGCUUUGAUAAAAUUGCAAAUAUAUGUGGGCAUUCAUGUCUAUUAUAGUUUCCCUAAAUAUCAAAACAGAGAACUAAGAAGUUGAGUGUGGUGCUAGAAUGCAUGCUUGUCUAUUCUGUGUGUGCAAGCUUAAGAAGAACAUAAAUAUCGAUUUGCUAAAUAAAUAUAGAAUAUGAAAAAUAUCCAUGGGUGGUUUGUCUUUCAAUUGUUGCCCUUCUUGUUUACUUGGUCUUCCAUGGCUAAAUAUAUUUUCCAAGUUCAGUCAGCUGGCAUUUAAGUCAUCGACUUGGACUAGUGCUCGAAUAUCCUGAAUUUAUUCGAGGCUUUUCAGCCAUAUUGUUUGGUUGUAUGGUCGCCACAACUACAAGCUGUCUAAAGAUUGACCGGCUCAAUUUUUCGAAUGUGCUCAUAGGGAUAGGGUGUGCUGCCAAGAACAUAAGAAUAAGUGAACAUACAUGUAUGCGAGCAUCUAUUUGUACCGUACUUCUGAAAAAGCUUGAACUACGGUCCUUUCAAACAUCAUGAACGAGAUUGAAAACAUAAAUCUUUAUCAAACCAUAUGAAAAUAAUUUACUACAUGGACAUGAUAUUUGUAUAUCAUGUCACAAAAUUGUUGGGGAACGUAGUAAUUUCAAAAAAAAUCCUACGCACACGCAAGAUCAUGGUGAUGCAUAGCAACGAGAGGGGAGAGUAUUGUCCACGUACCCUCAUAGACCGAAAGCGGAAGCGUUAGCACAACGCAGUUGAUGUAGUCGUACGUCUUCGCGAUCCGACCGAUCAAGUAACGAACACACGGCACCUCCGAGUUCAGCACACGUUCAGCCCGAUGACGUCCCUCGAACUCCGAUCCAGCCGAGUGUUGAGGGAGAGUUUCGUCAACACGAUGGCGUGGUGAUGAUGAUGAUGUUCUACCGACACAGGGCUUUGCCUAAGCACCGCUACAGUAUUAUCGAGGUGGACUAUGGUGGAGGGGGGCACCGCACACGGCUAAAAGAUCAAACGAUCAAUUGUUGUCUCUAGGGUGCCCCCUGCCCCCGUAUAUAAAGGAGCAAGGGGGGAGGUGCGGCCGGCCAGGAGGAGUCCUACUCCCACCGGGAGUAGGACUCCCUCCCUUUUCCUUGUUGGAUUAGGAGAAGAGGGGAAAGANNNNNNNNNNNNNNNNNNNNNNNNNNNNNNNNNNNNNNNNNNNNNNNNNNNNNNNNNNNNNNNNNNNNNNNNNNNNNNNNNNNNNNNNNNNNNNNNNNNNNNNNNNNNNNNNNNNNNNNNNNNNNNNNNNNNNNNNNNNNNNNNNNNNNNNNNNNNNNNNNNNNNNNNNNNNNNNNNNNNNNNNNNNNNNNNNNNNNNNNNNNNNNNNNNNNNNNNNNNNNNNNNNNNNNNNNNNNNNAUUCGGACUAGGGGGGAGGGGCGCGCGACCCUUGCCCUGGCCGCCUCUCCUCUUCUCCACUAAGGCCCACUAUGGCCCAUUAUCCCCCCGGGGGGUUCCAGUAACCCCUCGGUACUCUGGUAAAAUCCCGAUUUCACCCGGAACACUUCCGAUAUCCAAACAUAGGCUUCCAAUAUAUCAAUCUUCAUGUCUCGAUCAUUUCAAGACUCCUCGUCAUGUCCGUGAUCACAUCCGGGACUCCAAAAAACCUUUGGUACAUCAAAACAUAUAAACUCAUAAUAUAAAUGUCAUCAAAACGUUAAGCGUGCGGACCCUACGGGUUCGAGAACUAUGUAGACAUGACCGAGACACGUCUCCGGUCAAUAACCAAUAGCGGAACCUGGAUGCUCAUAUUGGCUCCCACAUAUUCUACGAAGAUCUUUAUCGGUCAAACCGCAUGAAAACAUAUGUUGUUCCCUUUGUCAUCCGUAUGUUACUUGCCCGAGAUUCGAUCGUCGGUAUCUCAACACCUAGUUCAAUCUCGUUACCAGCAAGUCUCUUUACUCGUUCCGUAAUACAUCAUCCUGCAACUAACUCAUUAGUUGCAAUGCUUGCAAGGCUUAAGUGAUGUGCAUUACCGAAUGGGCCCAGAGAUACCUCUCCGACAAUCGGAGUGACAAAUCCUAAUCUCGAAAUACGCCAACCCAACAAGUACCUUCGGGGACACCUGUAGCGUAUCUUUAUAAUCACGCAGUUACGUUGUGACAUUUGGUAGCACACAAAGUGUUCCUCCGGUAAACGGGAGUUGCAUAAUCUCAUAGUCAUAGGAACAUGUAUAAGUCAUGAAGAAAGCAAUAGCAACAUACUAAAUGAUCGAGUGCUAAGCUAACGGAAUGAGUCAAGUCAAUCACAUCAUUCUCCUAAUGAUGUGAUCCCGUUAAUCAAAUGACAACUCAUGUCAAUGGCUAGGAAACAUAACCAUCUUUGAUCAACGAGCUAGUCAAGUAGAGGCAUACUAGUGACACUCUGUUUGUCUAUGUAUUCACACAAGUAUUAUGUUUCCGGUUAAUACAAUUCUAGCAUGAAUAAUAAACAUUUAUCAUGAUAUAAGGAAAUAAAUAAUAACUUUAUUAUUGCCUCUAGGGCAUAUUUCCUUCAGUCUCCCACUUGCACUAGAGUCAAUAAUCUAGAUUACACAGUAAUGAUUCUAACACCCAUGGAGCCUUGGUGCUGAUCAUGUUUUGCUCGUGGAAGAGGCUUAGUCAACGGGUCUCCAGCAUUCAGAUCUGUAUGUAUCUUGCAAAUUUGUAUGUCUCCCACCUGGACUAGGUCCUGGAUGGAAUUGAAGCGUCUCUUGAUGUGCUUGGUUCUCUUGUGAAAUUUGGAUUCCUUCGCCAAGGCAAUUGCACCAGUAUUGACACAAAAGAUUUUCAUUGGACCCGAUGCACUAGGUAUGACACCUAGAUCAGAUAUGAACUCCUUCAUCCAGACUCCUUCAUUUGCUGCUUCUGAAGCAGCUAUGUACUCCGCUUCACACGUAAAUCCCGCCAUGACGCUUUGUUUAGAACUGCACCAACUGACAGCUCCACCAUUCAAUGUAAACACGUAUCCGGUUUGCAAUUUAGAAUCGUCCGGAUCAGUGUCAAAGCUUGCAUUGACGUAACCAUUUACGACUAGCUCUUUGUCACCUCCAUAAACGAGAAACAUAUCCUUAGUCCUUUUCAGGUAUUUCAGGAUGUUCUUGACCGUUGUCUAGUGAUCCACUCCUGGAUUACUUUGGUACCUCCCUGCUAAACUUAUAGCAAGGUACACAUCAGGUCUGGUACAACAUUGCAUACAUGAUAGAGCCUAUUGCUGAAGCAUAGGGAACAUCUUUCAUCUUCUCUCUAUCUUCUGCAGUGGUCGGGCUUUGAGUCUUACUCAACUUCACACCUUGUAACACAGGCAAGAACCCUUUCUUUGCUUGAUCCAUUUUGAACUUCUUCAAAACUUUGUCAAGGUAUGUGCUUUGUGAAAGUCCAAUUAAGCGUCUUGAUCUAUCUCUAUAAAUCUUGAUGCCCAAUAUAUAAGCAGCUUCACCGAGGUCUUUCAUUGAAAAACUCUUAUUCAAGUAUCCCUUUAUGCUAUCCAGAAAUUCUAUAUCAUUUCCAAUCAACAAUAUGUCAUCCACAUAUAAUAUCAGAAAUGCUACAGAGCUCCCACUCACUUUCUUGUAAAUACAGGCUUCUCCAAAAGUCUGUACAAAACCAAAUGCUUUGAUCACACUAUCAAAGUGUUUAUUCCAACUCCGAGAGGCUUGCACCAGUCCACAAAUGGAUCGCUGGAGCUUGCACACUUUGUUAGCUCCCUUUGGAUCGACAAAACCUUCCGGUUGCAUCAUAUACAACUCUUCUUCCAGAAAUCCAUUCAGGAGUGCAGUUUUGACAUCCAUUUGCCAAAUUUCAUAAUCAUAAAAUGCGGCAAUUUCCAACAUGAUUCAGACAGAUUUAAGCAUCGCUACGGGUGAGAAAGUCUCAUCGUAGUCAAUCCCUUGAACUUGUCGAAAACCUUUUGCAACAAGUCGAGCUUUAUAGACAGUAAUAUUACCGUCAGCGUCAGUCUUCUUCUUGAAGAUCCAUUUAUUCUCAAUGGCUUGCCGAUUAACGGGCCAGUCAACCAAAGUCCACACUUUGUUCUCAUACAUGGAUCCCAUCUCAGAUUUCAUGGCCUCAAGCCAUUUUGCGAAAUCUGGGCUCACCAUCGCUUCUUCAUAGUUCGUAGGUUCGUCAUGGUCUAGUAACAUAACCUCUAGAACAGGAUUAUCGUACCACUCUGGUGCGGAUCUUACUCUGGUUGACCUACGAGGUUCAGUAACAACUUGAUAUGAAGUUUCAUGAUCAUCAUCAUUAACUUCCUCACUAAUUGGUGUAGGUGUCACAGGAACCGGUUUCUGUGAUGAACUACUUUCCAAUAAGGGAGCAGGUACAGUUAUCUCAUCAAGUUCUACUUUCCUCCCACUCACUUCUUUCGAGAGAAACUCCUUCUCUAGAAAGGAUCCAUUCUUAGCAAUGAAUGUCUUGCCUUCGGAUCUGUGAUAGAAGGUGUACCCAAUAGUCUCCUUUGCGUAUCCUAUGAAGACACAUUUCUCCAAUUUGGAUUCGAGCUUAUCAGGCUGAAACUUUUUCACAUAAGCAUUGCAGCCCCAAACUUUAAGAAACGACAACUUUGGUUUCUUGCCAAACCACAGUUCCUAAGGCGUCGUCUCAACGGAUUUCGAUGGUGCCCUAUUUAACGUGAAUGCAGCUGUCUCUAAAGCAUAACCCCAAAAUGAUAGCGGUAAAUCAGUAAGAGACAUCAUAGAUCGCACUAUAUCUAGUAAAGUACGAUUACGACGUUCGAACACACCAUUACGCUGUGGUGUUCCGGGUGGCGUGAGUUGCGAAACUAUUCCGCAUUGUUUCAAAUGUAGACCAAACUCGUAACUCAAAUAUUCUCCUCCACGAUCUGAUCGUAGAAACUUUAUUUUCUUGUUACGAUGAUUUUCAGCUUCACUCUGAAAUUCUUUGAACUUUUCAAAUGUUUCAGACUUAUGUUUCAUUAAGUAGAUGUAUCCACAUCUGCUUAAACCAUCUGUGAAGGUGAGAAAAUAACGAUAUCCGCCGCGAGCCUCAACAUUCAUCGGACCACAUACAUCUGUAUGUAUGAUUUCUAACAAAUCUGUUGCUCUCUCCAUAGUACCGGAGAAUGGUGUUUUAGUCAUCUUGCCCAUGAGGCACGGUUCGCAAGUACCAAGUGAUUCAUAAUCAAGUGGUUCCAAAAGUCCAUCAGUAUGGAGUUUCUUCAUGCGCUUUACACCGAUAUGACCUAAACCGCAGUGCCACAAAUAAGUUGCACUAUCAUUAUCAACUCUUCAUCUUUUGGUUUCAAUAUUAUGAAUAUGUGUAUCACUACUAUCGAGAUUCAUAAAAAAUAGACCAUUCUUCAAGGGUGCAUGACCAUAAAAUAUAUUACUCAUAUAAAUAGAACAACCAUUAUUCUCUGAUUUAAAUGAAUAACUGUCUCGCUUCAAACAAGAUCCAGAUAUAAUGUUCAUGCUCAACGCCGGCACCAAAUAACAAUUAUUUAGGUCUAAUACUAAUCCCGGAGGUAGAUGUAGAGGUAGCGUGCCGACGGCGAUCACAUCGACUUUGGAACCGUUUCCCACGCGCAUCGUCACCUCGUCCUUGGCCAGUGUUCGCUUAAUCCGUAGUCCCUGUUUCGAGUUGCAAAUAUUAGCAACCGAACCAGUAUCAAAUACCCAGGUGCUAAUGCGAGCUCUGGUAAGGUACACAUCAAUAACAUGUAUAUCACAUAUACCUUUGUUCACCUUGCCAUCCUUCUUAUUUGCCAAAUACUUGGGGCAGUUCCGCUUCCAGUGACCAGUCUGCUUGUAGUAGAAGCACUCAGUUUCAGGCUUAGGUCCAGACUUGGGUUUCUUCUCUUGAGCAACAACUUGCUUGCUGUUCUUCUUGAAGUUUCCCUUUUUCUUCCCUUUGCCCUUUUUCUUGAAACUGGUGGUCAUAUUGACCAUCAACACUAGAUUCUCCUUCUUGAUUUCUACCUCCGCAGUCUUUAGCAUUGCGAAGAGCUCGGGAAUCGUCUUAUCAAUCCCUUGCAUGUUAUAGUUCAUCACGAAGCUCUUGUAGCUCGGUGGCAGUGAUUGAAGAAUUCUGUCAAUGACGCUAUCAUCCGGAAGAUUAACUCCCAGUUGAAUCAAGUGAUUGCAGUACCCAUACAUCUUGAGUAUAUGCUCACUGAAAGAACUAUUCUCCUCCAUCUUGCAGCUGUAGAAUUUAUUGGAGACUUCAUAUCUCUCAAUCCGGGCAUUCUUUUGAAAUAUUAACUUCAAUUCCUGGAACAUCUCAUAUGCUCCAUGACGUUCAAAACAUCGUUGAAGUCCCAGUUCUAAGCCGUAAAGCAUGGCACGCUGAACUAUCGAGUAGUCAUCAACACGUGACUGCCAGGUAUUCACAAUGUCUGCGGUUGCUGGCGCAGGUGGUACACCUAGUGGUGCUUCCAGGACGUAACUCUUCUGUGCAGUAAUGAGGAUAAUCCUCAAGUUACGGACCCAGUCCGUGUAAUUGCUACCAUCAUCUUUCAAUUUUGCUUUCUCAAGGAACGCAUUAAAAUUCAACGGAACAACAACACGGGCCAUCUAUCUACAAUUAACAUAGACAAGCAAGAUACUAUCAGGUACUAAGUUCAUGAUAAAUUUAAUUUCAAUUAAUCAUACUACUUAAGAACUCCCACUUAGAUAGACAUCCCUCUAAUCCUCUAAGUGAUCACGUGAUCCAAAUCAACUAAAUCAUAACCGAUCAUCACGUGAAAUGGUGAACAUCACUAUGUUGAUCAUAUCUACUAUAUGAUUCAUGCUCGACCUUUCGGUCUCUGUGUUCCGAGGCCAUAUAUGCAUAUGCUAGGCUCGUCAAGUUUAACCUGAGUAUUCUGGAUGUGCAAAACUGGCUUGCACCCGUUGUAGAUGGACGUAGAGCUUAUCACACCCGAUCAUCACGUGGUGUCUGGGCACGACGAACUUUGGCAGCGGUGCAUACUCAGGGAGAACACUUUUAUCUUGAAAUUUAGUGAGAGAUCAUCUUAUAAUGCUACCGUCAAUCAAAGCGAGAUAAGAUGCAUAAAAGAUAAACACCACAUGCAAUCAAUAUAAGUUAUAUGAUAUGGCCAUCAUCAUCUUGUGCUUGUGAUCUCCAUCUCCGAAGCACCGUCAUGAUCACCAUCGUCACCGGCGUGACACCUUGAUCUCCAUCGUAGCAUCGUUGUCGUCUCGCCAAUCUUAUGCUUCUACGACUAUCGCUACCGCUUAGUGAUAAAGUAAAGCAUUACAGGGCGAUUGCAUUGCAUACAAUAAAGCGACAACCAUAUGGCUCCUGCCAGUUGCCGAUAACUCGGUUACAAAACAUGAUCAUCUCAUACAAUAAAAUUUAGCAUCAUGUCUUGACCAUAUCACAUCACAACAUGCCCUGCAAAAACAAGUUAGACAUCCUCUACUUUGUUGUUGCAAGUUUUACGUGGCUGCUACAGGCUUAGCAAGAACCGUUCUUACCUAUGCAUCAAAAACCACAACGAUAGUUUAUCAAGUUGAUGAUGUUUUAACCUUCGCAAGGACCGGUCGUAGUCACACUCGGUUCAACUAAAGUUGGAGAAACUGACACCCGCCAGCCACCUGUGUGCAAAGCACAUCGGUAGAACCAGUCUCGCGUAAGCGUACGCGUAAUGUCGGUCUGGGCCGCUUCAUCCAACAAUACUGCCGAACCAAAGUAUGACAUGCUGGUAAGCAGUAUGACUUAUAUCACCCACAACUCGCUUGUGUUCUACUCGUGCAUAUAACAUCAACGCAUAAAACCUGGCUCGGAUGCCACUGUUGGGGAACGUAGUAAUUUCAAAAAAAAAUCCUAUGCACACGCAAGAUCAUGGUGAUGCAUAGCAACGAGAGGGGAGAGUAUUGUCCACGUACCAUCGUAGACCGAAAAUGGAAGCGUUAGCACAUGAUACGUCUCCGUCGUAUCUAUAAUUUUUGAUUAUUCCAUGCCAAUAUUAUUCAACUUUCAUACACUUUUUGGCAACUUUUUAUAUUAUUUUUGGGACUAACAUAUUGAUCCAGUGCCCAGUGCCAGUUCCUGUCUGUUGCAUGUUUUUGGUUUCACAGAAUAUCCAUAUCAAACGGAGUCCAAACGGGAUAAAAACGGACGGAGCUUAUUUUUGGAAAAUAUGGAAAAUUCGGAAGGAAAAUCAACGCGAACCAGUGCCCGAGGUGGUCACGAGACAGGGGGGCGCCCCCCCCCCCCCCUAGGGCGCGCUCCCUACCCUCGUGAGCCCACCAUAAGGCGGUUGACGCUCUUCUUUUGCCGCAAGAAAGCUAAUAUUCGGAAAAAAAAUCACUGCGAAGGUUUUAGGUCAAUCGGAGUUACGGAUCUCCAUAUAUAUACGAAACGGUGAAACAGAGCCAGAAGAGAACGCAGAAACAGAGAGAGACAGAGAGACAGAUACAAUCUCGGAGGGGCUCUCGCCCCUCCUGUGCCAUGGAGGCCAUGGACCAGAGGGGAAACCCUUCUCCCAUCUAGGGAGGAGGUCAAGGAAGAAGAAGGAGGGGGGCUCUCUCCCCCUUGCUUUCGGUGGCACCGGAGUGCCACCGGGGGCCAUCAUCAUCACCGCGAUCUACACCAGCACCUCCGCCAUCUUCACCAACAUCUCCAUCACCUUCCCCCUCUAUCUACAGCGGUCCACUCUCCCGCAACCCGAUGUACCCUCUACUUGAACAUGGUGCUUUAUGCUUCAUAUUAUUAUCCAAUCAUGUGUUGCCAUCCUAUGAUGUUUGAGUAGAUUUUCGUUGUCCUGUCGGUGGUUGAUGAAUUGCUAUGAUUGAUUUAAUUUGCUUGUGGUUAUGUUGCUGUCCUUUGGUGCCCAUCAUAUGAUUGCGCGCGUGGAUCACACCCUAGGGUUAGUUGUAUGUUGAUAGGACUAUGUAUUGGAGGGCAAGAGUGACAGAAGCUUCAACCUAGCAUAGAAAUUGAUGCAUACGGGAUUGAAGGGGGGCCAAUAUACCUUAAUGCUAUGGUUGUGUUUUACCUUAAUGAACAUUAGUGGUUGCGGAUGCUUGCUAAUAGUUCCAAUCAUAAGUGCAUAGAAUUCCAAGUCAGGGAUGACAUGCUAGCAGAGGCCUCUCCCACAUAAUACUUGCUAUCGGUCUAGUAAAGUAGUCAAUUGCUUAAGGGCAAUUUCGCAAAUCCUACCACCACUUUUCCACACCCGCUAUAUUUACUUUAUUGUUUCUUUAUCUAACCAGCCCCUGCUUUUUAUUUACGUACUCUUUAUUAUCUUGCAAACCUAUCCAACAACACCUACAAAGUACUUCUAGUUUCAUACUUAUUCUAGGUAAAGCGAACGUCAAGCGUGCGUAGAGUUGUAUCGGUGGUCGAUAGAACUUGAGGGAAUAUUUGUUCUACCUUUAGCUCCUCGUUGGGUUCGACACUCUUACUUAUCGAAAACUGUUGCGAUCCCCUAUACUUGUGGGUUAUCAAGACCUUUUUCUGGCGCCGUUGCCGGGGAGCAAUAGCGUGGGGUGAAUAUUCUCGUGUAUGCUUGUUUGCUUUAUCACUAAGUAAAUUUUAUUUGUUGUUCUCAGUUGUUUUCUAUCUUUAGUUAUGGGUAGGAAACGCAAAAUACCAAAAAAAUAGUUGUACCUACUAAACCAAUGGUUGAAGAACCAAUCAAAAUCUAUCACACUGCUGAAGCUUAUUACUUGGAUCAUCUUCGAUCCCUAUGGGCUCGUGCUGAAGCCCCAACUAGCUUAGUUGAGGGCAAAUCCUUAGAUGAGCAUGCUUGUUAUGUGCGACACCGUAUAUCUGAAAAAGGGAAAUUAUUAUGGAGUCAAAUUCAACAUUUGCAAUGCUAUGCUUGGAAUUUAUGUGAAUUAUAUGAUUUUACUUGUUGUUCUGAAAACCCUAAGAAGCACCUUCCCUACCAAUGUUUGUUUAGUGAUAAUGGAAUCGUAUCCUCUUAUGCUAAGGGUGUUUAUAGUUACUAUGAUAUUCAACAAAUUGAAGAAUUUGUUGCUUUUGAGGGUGCUUAUGAAAUUGCUUCUUUGAUUGAAAAGUAUGAUGCUACUUUUCACAAAUCUGAAAUUUUGCUAUACUUAAAUGUUGCUAUGAUAAUUAUGCUUCUAAUACCUAUGUUAAACAGUAUAUUGAGGAAUACUCUGCUGUCCAAGAAGAGACUAAUAUUUUGCAGGAGUCUAUGGAAGAAGAAAUUGAUGAAACUGUGAGCUCAUUGGAUGAAAAAGAUGAUGAGAAGAGCGAAGAACAAAAGGAGGAAGAGUGGAUUUAUCAUCUGUGCCCACCUUCUAAUGAGAGUAACUCUUCAACUAAUACAUUGUUUAAUUCCCCUUCAUGCUUACCGAAGGAUGAAUGCUAUGAUGAUUGUUAUGAUCCCAUUGAUUCUCCUGAAAUAUCCCUUUUUGAUGAUGCUUGCUAUACUUGUGGCCAAGAUGCCAAUAUGAAUUAUGCUUAUGGAGAUGAACUUGCUAUAGUUCCUUAUGUUAAACAUGAAAUUGUUGCUAUUGCACCCACACAUGAUAGUCCUAUUAUCUUUUUGAAUUCUCCCGAUUAUACUAUAUCGGAGAAGUUUGCACUUAUUAAGGAUUAUAUUGAUGGGUUGCCUUUUACCGUUGCACAUGAUGAUUUUGAUAAAUAUAAUAUGCAUGUGAUUGCUGCUCCUACUUGCAAUUAUUAUGAGAGAGGAACUAUAUCUCCACCUCUCUAUGUUUCCAACAUGAUAAAAUUGCAAGAAACUGUUUAUAAUAUGCAUUGGCCUUUACUAGGUGUGCAUGAAUUGUUCUUUUAUGACAUGCCAAUGCAUAGGAAGAGAGUUAGACUUCGUCAUUGCUUGAUAUAUGUUGCUUCGUGCUCACUACUAAAUUACAAAUCAUUGUUAAUUAAAAUUGGCUUUGAUAUACCUUGGGAUCCGGGUGGAUUCACUACUUGAGCAAUAUAUGCCUAGCUUAAUGGCUUUAAAGAAAGCGCUGCUAGGGAGACAACCCGGAAGCUUUAGAGAGUCAUUUAUUUCUGUUGAGUGCUUUCAUAUAGUUUAAAAACAACAAAAAUAAAGAGGGGAACCCAAAACUUUCUCAAAAAGGAAAGUGAAAGUGAGAAAGACAAGCAUUGUUGAAGUGGGAGAGCUCCUUGAACUUUGUUCAUGCUCACGGCAACUUUGUGAAUCUUGAUUACAGAAACUUUUCAAUAAAAAUAAUUAUCCCCUUGUAAAAUUCCAUUUUAUUAUAAAAAUAAUGUGCCAAGGUUUGCCUUUAGGAUAUUUACAUUUGCUUGAUGGUUUGUAUGGUGCAGGACAGAAACUUUGGCUGUAGUGCGUGAUUUUACAUUUUUAGCUGGAACGUCAAAUAGUUCUGAUUCUUUUUGCACUGUCUUCCUAUACAAAUUUAUUAUUUUUUCUAAUUUUGGUAGAAUUUUUCAAGUAUCAUAAGUAUGGUGAAUGUUCAGAUUAUUACAGACUGUUCUGUUUUAGACAGAUUCUGUUUUUGAUGCAUAGUUUGCUCAUUUUGAUGAAACUAUCGAUUCAUAUCAGUGGAUUAAUCCAUGAAAAAGUUAUAUUACAGUAGACACAAUGCAAAAACAAAAUAUGAAUUGGUUUGCAACAGUACUUAGAGUAGUGAUUUGCUUUAUUAUACUAACGGGUCUUACCGAGUUUUCUGUUGAAGUUUUGUGUGGAUGAAGUGUUCGAUGAUCGAGAAAGUUUUGAUGUGAGAAGAAGGAAGAGAGGCAAGAGCUCAAGCUUGGGGAUGCCCGAGGCACCCCAAGUAAAUAUUCAAGGAGACUCAAGAAUCUAAGCUUGGGGAUGCUGGGAAGGCAUUACCUCUUUCUUCAACAAAUAUCGGUAUGUUUUCAGAUUCGUUUCGUUCAUGCCAUAUGUGCAAUCUUGGAGCGUUUUUUUUUGCAUUUAGGUUUUCAUUUUUCUUUUAUGCACCAUGCUGGUAUGAGAUGGUCCUUGGUUGAUUUAUAGAAUGUUCAUUGCACUUCACUUAUAUCUUUUGAGUAUGGCUUUAUAGAAUGCUUCAUGUGCUUCACUUAUAUCAUUUGAAGUUUGGAUUGCAUGUUUCUCUUUACAUAGACAACCGCCAUUUGUAGAAUGCUCUUUUGCUUCACUUAUAUUUGUUAGAGCAUGGGCAUAUCUUUUGUAGAAAGAAUUAAACUCUCUUGCUUCACUUAUAUCUAUUUAGAGAGAUGACAGGAAUUGGUCAUUCAUAUGGUUAGUCAUAAAAUCCUACAUAAAACUUGUAGAUCACUGAAUAUGAUAUGUUUGAUUCCUUGCAAUAGUUUUGCGAUAUAAAGAUGGUAAUAUUAGAGUCAUGCUAGUGGGUAGUUGUGGAUUGUAGAAAUACUUGUGUUGAGGUUUGUGAUUCCCGUAGCAUGCACGUAUGGUGAACCGUUAUGUAACGAAGUUGGAGCAUGAUUUAUUUAUUGAUUGUCUUCCUUAUGAGUGGUGGUCGGGGACGAGCGAUGGUCUUUUCCUACCAAUUUAUCCCCCUAGGAGCAUGUGCGUAGUACUUUGUUUCGAUAGCCAAUAUACUUUUUCAAUAAGUAUGUGAGUUCUUUAUGACUAAUGUUGAGUCCAUGGAUUAUACGCACUCUCACCCUUCCACCAUUGCUAGCCUCUCUAGUACUGCGCAACUUUCGCCAGUACCAUAAACCCACCAUAUACCUUCCUCAAAACAGCCACCAUACCUACCUAUCAUGGCAUUUCCAUAGCCAUUCCGAGAUAUAUUGCCAUGCAACUUUCAUCAUCAUCAUAUACAUGACUUGAGCAUUCAUUGUCAUAUUGCUUUGCAUGAUCGUAAGAUAGCUAGCAUGAUAUUUUCAUGGCUUGUCCGUUUUUUGAUGUCAUUGCUACGCUAGAUCAUUGCACAUCCCGGUACACCGCCCGAGGCAUUCAUAUAGACUCAUAUCUUUGUUCUAGAUAUCGAGUUGUAAGUAAAUAAAAGUGUGAUGAUCAUCAUUAUUAGAGCAUUGCCCAAGUGAGGAAAGGAUGAUGGAGACUAUGAUUCCCCCACAAGUCGGGAUGAGACUCCGGACGAAAAAAAAGAGAAAGGACAAAAAAAGAGAAGGCCCAAAAAAAGAGGAGAAAAAAAGAGAAAAGAAAACAGAAAAGAGAAAAAGAGAGAAGGGGCAAUGCUACUAUCCUUUUUCCACACUUGUGCUUCAAAGUAGCACCAUGUUCUUCAUAUAGACAGUCUCUUGAGUUAUCACUUUCAUAUACUAGUGGGAAUAUUCAUUAUAGAACUUGGCUUGUAUAUUCCGAUGAUGGGCUUCCUCAAAUGCCCGAGGUCUUCAUGAGCAAGCAAGUUGGAUGCACACCCACUUAGUUUCAGUUAGAGCUUUCAUACACUUAUAGCUCUAGUGCAUCCGUUGCAUGGCAAUCCCUACUCACUCACAUUGAUAUCUAUUGAUAGGCAUCUCCAUAGCCCGUUGAUACGCCUAGUUGAUGUGAGACUAUCUUCUCCUUUUUGUCUCCUCCACCAUCAUAUUCUAUUCCACCUAUAGUGCUAUGUCCAUGGCUCACGUUCAUGUAUUGCGUGAAAGUUGAAAAGGUUUGAGAACGCCAAAAGUAUGAAACAAUUGUUUGGCUUGUCAUCGGGGUUGUGCAUGAUGUGAAUAUUUUGUGUGGUGAAGAUGGAGCAUAGCCAGACUAUAUGAUUUUGUAGGGAUAACUUUCUUUGGCCUUGUUAUUUUGAAAAUACAUGAUUGCUUUAUUAGUGGGCUUGAAGUAUUAUUGUUUUUAUGUCAAAUGAUAGACUAUUGCUUUGAAUCACUCGUGUCUUAAUAUUCAUGCCAUGAUUAGACAUAUGAUCAAGAUUAUGCUAGGUAGCAUUCCACAUCAAAAAUUAUCUUUUCUAUCAUUUACCUACUCGAGGACGAGCAGGAGUUAAGCUUGGGGAUCCUGAUACGUCUCCGUCGUAUCUAUAAUUUUUGAUUGUUCCAUGCCAAUAUUAUUCAACUUUCAUACACUUUUUGGCAACUUUUUAUAUUAUUUAUGGGACUAAUAUAUUGAUCCAGUGCCUAGUGCCAGUUCCUAUCUGUUGCAUGUUUUUGGUUUCGCAGAAUAUCCAUAUCAAACGGAGUCCAAACGGGAUAAAAAUGGACAGAGCUUAUUUUUGGAAAAUAUGGAAAAUUCGGAAGGAAAAUCAACGCGAAGCAGUGCCCGAGGUGGUCAUAAGACCGGGCCCCCCCUAGGGCGCGCCCCCUACCCUCGUGAGCCCACCGUAAGGCGGUUGACGCUCUUCUUUUGCCGCAAGAAAGCUAAUAUUCGGAAAAAAUCACGGCGAAGGUUUCAGGUCAAUCGGAGUUACGGAUCUCCAUAUAUAUACGAAACGGUGAAACAGAGCCAGAAGAGAACGCAGAAACAGAGAGAGACAAAGAGACAGAUCCAAUCUCGGAGGGGCUCUCGCCCCUCCCAUGCCAUGGAGGCCAUGGACUAGAGGGGAAACCCUUCUCCUAUCUAGGGAGGAGGUCAAGGAAGAAGAAGAAGAAGGAGGGGGCUCUCUCCCCUUGCUUCUGGUGGCACCGGAGUGCCACCGGGGGCCAUCAUCAUCACCGCGAUCUACACCAACACCUCCGCCAUCUUCACCAACAUCUCCAUCACCUUCCCUCCUCUAUAUACAACGGUCCACUCUCCCGCAACCCGCUAUACCCUCUACUUGAACAUGGUGAUUUAUGCUUCAUAUUAUUAUCCAAUCAUGUGUUGCCAUCCUAUGAUGUCUGAGUAGAUUUUCGUUGUCCUGUCGGUGGUUGAUGAAUUGCUAUGAUUGAUUUAAUUUGCUUGUGGUUAUGUUGUUGUCCUUUGGUGCCCAUCAUAUGAUUGCGCGCGUGGAUCACACCCUAGGGUUAGUUGUAUGUUGAUAGGACUAUGUAUUGGAGGGCAAGAGUGACAGAAGCUCAACCUAGCAUAGAAAUUGAUGCAUACGGGAUUGGAGGGGGGCCAAUAUACCUUAAUGCUAUGGUUGGGUUUUACCUUAAUGAACAUUAGUAGCUGCAGAUGCUUGCUAAUAGUUCCAAUCAUAAGCGCAUAGAAUUCCAAGUCAGGGAUGACAUGCUAGCAGAGGCCUCUCCCACAUAAUACUUGCUAUCGGUCUAGUAAAGUAGUCAAUUGCUUAGGGGCAAUUUCGCAACUCCUACCACCACUUUUUCACACCCGCUAUAUUUACUUUAUUGUUUCUUUAUCUAACCAGCCCCUACUUUUUAUUUACGUACUCUUUAUUAUCUUGCAAACCUAUCCAACAACACCUACAAAGUACUUCUAGUUUCAUACUUGUUCUAGGUAAAGCGAACGUCAAGCGUGCGUAGAGUUGUAUCGGUGGUCGAUAGAACUUGAGGGAAUAUUUGUUUUACCUUUAGCUCUUCGUUGGGUUCGACACUCUUACUUAUCGAAAACUGUUGCGAUCCCCUAUACUUGUGGGUUAUCAGCACAACGCGGUUGAUGUAGUCGUACGUCUUCACGAUCCGACCGAUCAAGUACCGAACGCACGGCACCUCCGAGUUCAGCACAUGUUCAGCCCGAUGACGUCCCUCGAACUCCGAUCCAGCCGAGUGUUGAGGGAGAGUUUCGUCAGCACGACGGCAUGGUGACGAUGAUGAUGUUCUACCGACGCAGGGCUUCGCCUAAGCACCGCUACAGUAUUAUCGAGGUGGACUAUGGUGGAGGGGGGCACCACACACGGCUAAAAGAUCAGACGAUCAAUUGUUGUCUCUAGGGUGCCCCUGCCCCUGUAUAUAAAGGAGCAAGGGGGAAGGUGCGGCCGGCCAGGAGGGGCGUGCUACGUCUUGAGCUUGCGUUGGUUUUCCCCGAAGAGGAAGGGAUGAUGCAGCAGAGUAGCGUAAGUAUUUCCCUCAGUUUUUUGAGAACCAAGGUAUCAAUCCAGUAGGAGGCCACGCUCAAGUCCCUCGUACCUGCACAAAACGAUAGCUACUCGCAACCAACGCGAUUAGGGGUUGUCAAUCCUUCACGGUCACUUACGAGAGUGAGAUCUGAUAGAUAUAAUAUUUUUGGUAUAAAGAUGCAAAGUAAAAAGUAAGAGCAAAGUAAAAAAGCAAAGAAAUAUUAAAGUGAUGGAGAUUGAUAUGAUGAGAAUCGACCCGGGGGCCAUAGGUUUCACUAGUGGCUUCUCUCAAGAGCAUAAGUAUUCUACGGUGGGUGAACAAAUUACUGUUGAGCAAUUGACGGAAUUGGGCAUAGUUAUAAGAAUAUCUAGGCAUGAUCAUGUAUAUAGGCAUCACGUCCGUGACAAGUAGAUCGAAACGAUUCUGCAUCUACUACUAUUACUCCACUCAUCGACCGCUAUCCAGCAUGCAUCUAGAGUAUUAAGUUAAAAACAGAGUAACGCUUUAAGCAAGAUGACAUGAUGUAGAGAGAUAAAUUCAUGCAAUAUGAAAUAAACCCAAUCUUGUUAUCCUCGAUGGCAAGGAUACAAUACGUGCCUUGCUGCCCCUUCUGUCACUGGGUAAGGACACCGCAAGAUCGAACCCAAAGUUAAGCACUUCUCCCAUGGCAAGAACUACCAAUCUAGUUGGCCAAACCAAACGGAUAAUUCAAAGAGACUUGCAAAGAUAACCAAUCAUACAUAAAAGAAUUCAGAGAAGAUUCAAAUAUUAUUCAUAGAUAGACUGGAUCAUAAACCCACAAUUCAUCGGUCUCAACAAACACACCGCAAAAAUAAGAUUACAUCGAAUAGAUCUCCAGGCGCGCCCUCCACCCUCUCUCAUGGAGAUCUAUUCGAUGUAAUCUUCUUUUUGCGGUGUGUUUGUUGAGACCGAUGAAUUGUGGGUUUAUGAUCCAGCCUAUCUAUGAAUAAUAUUUUAAUCUUCUCUGAAUUCUUUUAUGUAUGAUUGGUUAUCUUUGCAAGUCUCUUCGAAUUAUCAGUUUGGUUUGGCCUACUAGAUUGCUUUUUCUUGCCAUGAGAGAAGUGCUUAGCUUUGGGUUCGAUCUUGCGGUGUCCUUUCCCAGUGACAGAAGGGGCAGCAAGGCACGUAUUUUAUUGUUGCCAUCGAGGAUAACAAGAUGGGGUUUUUAUCAUAUUGCAUGAAACUAUCCCUCUACAUCAUGUCAUCUUGCUUAAGGCAUUACUCUGUUUUUAACUUAAUACUCUAGAUGCAUGCUGGAUAGCGGUCGAUGAGUGGAGUAAUAGUAGUAGAUGCAGGCAGGAGUCGGUCUACUUGUCUCGGACGUGAUGCCUAUAUACAUGAUCAUACCUAGAUAUUCUCAUAACUAUGCUCAAUUCCGUCAAUUGCUCAACAGUAAUUUGUUCACCCACCGUAGAAUACUUAUGCUCUUGAGAGAAGCCACUAGUGAAACCUAUGGCCCCCGGGCCUCUUUCUCAUCAUAUCAAUCUCCAUCACUUUAUUAUUGCUUUGCUUUUUUACUUUGCCUUUUACUUUUCACUUUGCAUCUCUAUACCAAAAAUACCAAAAAUAUUAUUUAUCAUCUCUAUCAAAUCUCACUUUCGUAAGUGACCGUGAAGGGAUUGACAACCCCUAAGUGCGUUGUUUGCGUUGAGCUAUUGUUUUUGUGUAGGUACGAGAGACUCGCGCGUAGCCUCCUACUGGAUUGAUACCUUGGUUCUCAAAAACUGAGGGAAAUACUUACGCUACUUUGCUGCAUCAUCCUCUCCUCUUCGGGGAAGUCCAACGCAGUGCUCACGAGGUAGCAAGAAGAAUUUCUGGCGCCGUUGCCGGGGAGUCUGCGCAAAAGUCAACAUACCAAGUACCCAUCACAAUCCCUAUCUCCCGCAUUACAUUAUUUGCCAUUUGCCUCUCGUUUUCCUCUCCCCCACUUCACCCUUGCCGUUUUAUUCGCCCUCUCUCUCUCUAUCCUCCCUCUCUUUCUCUAUUUGCCUCUUUUUGCCCGUUUGCCUUUUGUUUGCUCGUGUGUUGGAUUGCUUGUUUAUCGCGAUGGCUCAAGGUAAUACUAAAUUGUGUGACUUCACCAAUACCAACAACAAUGAUUUCCUUAGCACUCUGAUUGCUCCUCUUACUGAUGCUGAAUCUUGUGAAAUUCAUACUGUUUUGCUGAAUCUUGUCAUGAAAGAUCCGUUCUCCGGCCUUCCUAGUGAAGAUUCCGCUACCCAUCUAAAUAGCUUCGUUAAUUUGUGUGACAUGCAAAAGAAGAAAGAUGUGGAUAAUGAUAUUGUUAAAUUGAAGCUAUUUCCUUUUUCGCUUAGAGAUCGUGCUAAAGCUUGGUUUUCGUCUUUGCCUAAAAAUAGUAUUGAUUCAUGGAACAAGUGCAAAGAUGCUUUUAUCUCUAAGUAUUUUCCUCCCGCUAAGGUCAUCUCUCUUAGAAACGAUAUUAUGAAUUUUAAGCAACUUGAUCAUGAACAUGUUGCACAAGCUUGGGAUAGAAUGAAAUUAAUGAUACGUAAUUGCCCUACUCAUGGUUUAAAUUUGUGGAUGAUUAUACAAAAAAUUUAUGCCGGAUUGAAUUUUGCUUCUAGAAAUCUUUUAGAUUCGGCCGCGGGAGGCACUUUUAUGGAAAUCACUUUAGGAAAAGCUACUAAACUCCUAGAUAAUUAUGGUUAAUUAUUCUCAAUGGAAUACUGAAAGAUCUACUAAAAAGGUGCAUGCGAUAGAAGAAAUUAAUGUUUUGAAUGGAAAGAUGGAUGAACUUAUGAAAUUAUUUUCUAAUAAGAUUAUUUCUUCUGAUCCUAAUGAUGUGCCCUUGUCUACUUUGAUUGAGAAUAAUAAUGAACCUAUGGAUGUGAAUUUUGUUGGUAGGAACAAUUUUGGUAACAACGCGUAUAGAGGAAAUUUCAACCCUAGGCCUUAUCCUAGUAAUCCCUCUAAUAAUUAUGGUAAUUCCUAAAAAAAUUCUUUUGGAAAUUAUAAUAAGAUGCCCUCUAAUUUUGAAUUUAAUAUUAAAUAAUUUAUUACUUCGCAAAAGAAUUUUAAUGCUUUGAUUGAAGAAAAAGUGCUUAAGAUUGAUGAUUUGGCUAGGAACGUUGAUAGAAUUGCUCUUGAUAUUGAUUCUUUGAAACUUAGAUCUAUUCCACCUAAGCAUGAUAUCAAUGAGUCUCUCAAAGCCAUGAUAAUUUCCAUUGACAAGUGCAAGGAAAGAACCGCUAGGACGCGUGCUAUGAAAGAUGCCUUUAUUAAAGCGUGUUCUUCUAGUUCCUAUGAAAAUAAAGAUGAAGAUCUAAAAGUUAUUGAUGUGUCCCCUAUUAAAUAUUUGUUUUGCAAUAUGAAUCUUGAUAAUGAUGGGACUGAAUAUGAUCCACCUUCACCUAGAAGGCGUUCUAAAAAUUCGGAGUAUUUAGAUCUUGAUGGUGAAAUUGAUAAAAGUGGGAUUAAAAGAAAUAAAACCCUAGAUGAUGCUAGACCCACUGUAUUGGAUUUCAAGGAAUUUAAUUAUGAAAAUUGCUCUUUGAUUGUUUGUAUUUCCUUGUUGCAAUCCGUGCUAAAUUCUCCUCAUGCUUAUAGUCAAAAUAAAGCCUUUACCGAACAUAUUGUUGUUGCCUUGAUGCAAUCUUAUGAAAAAAAAUUGAGUUGAAAGUUUAUAUCCCUAGAAAACUUUAUGAUGAGUGGGAACCUACUAUUAAAAUUAAAAUUAAAGAUUAUGAGUUUUAUGCUUUGUGUGAUUUCGGUGCUAGUGUCUCUACUAUUCCCAAAACUUUGUGUGAUUUGCUAGAUUUCCGUAAUUUUGAUGAUUGCUCUCUAAACUUGCAUCUUGCAGAUUCCACUAUUAAGAAACCUAUGGGAAGAAUUAAUGAUGUUCUUAUUGUUGCAAAUAUGAAUUAUGUGCCCGUAGAUUUUAUCGUUCUUGAUAUAGAUUGCAAUCCUUCUUUCCCUAUUAUUCUCGGUAGACCUUUCCUUAGAACGGUUGGUGCAAUUAUUGAUGUGAAGGAAGGGAAUAUUAGAUUCCAAUUUCCAUUAAAAAAGGGCAUGGAACACUUCCCUAGAAUGAAAAUAAAAUUACCAUACGAAUCUAUCAUGAGAGCCACUUAUGGAUUGCCUACCAAAGAUGGCAAUACCUAGAUCUAUUCUUGCUUAUUAUGCCUAGCUAGGGGCGUUAAACGAUAUCGCUUGUUGGGAGGCAACCCAAUUUUAUUUUUAUUCCUUGCUUUUUUCUCCUGUUUAGUAAUUAAUAAAUUAUUUAUCCUCUGUUUUGGUUGUGUUUUUUGUGCUUAAUUAGUGUUUGUGCCAAGUAGAACCGUUGGGAAGACUUGGGGAAAGUCUUGUUGAACUUGUUGUAAAAGACAGAAACUUUAGCGAUCACGAGAACUGCUGUCAUUUUUAUUUGGAGAGUGAUAUUUAGUUAAUUCUUUUUGAAGAUGAUUAAUAUAUAAAUUCCUCACGUCCAGCAAUUUAUUUUAGAAUUUUUGGGGUUCCAGAUCUUGCGCUAGCUACAGAUUACUACAGACUAUUCUGUUUUUGACAGAUUCUGUUUUCCGUGUGUUGUUUGCUUAUUUUGAUGAAUCUAUGGCUAAUAAAAUAGUUAAUGAACCAUAUAGAAGUUGGAAUACAGUAGGUAUAACACCCAUAUAAAUAAAGAAUGAGUUCAUUACAGUACCUUGAAGUGGUCUUUUGUUUUCUUUCUCUAACGGAGCUCACGAGUUUUCUACUUUAAGUUUUGUGUUGUGAAGUUUUCAAGUUUUGAGUGAAUUCUUUUGAUGGAUUAUGGAACAAGGAGUGGCAAGAUCCUAAGCUUUGGGAUGCCCAUGGAACCCCCAAGAUAAUCUAAGGACACCUAAAAGCCAAAGCUUGGUGAUGCCCUGGAAGGCAUCCCCUCUUUCGUCUACUUCUAUUGGUAACUUUACUUGGAGCUAUAUUUUUAUUCACCACAUGAUAUGCGUUUUGCUUGGAGCGUCUUUUAUGAUUUGAUUCUUUGCUUUUUAGUAUACCACAAUCAUCCUUGCUGUACACACCUUUUGAGAGAGCCAUACAUAAUUUGGAAUUUGAUAGAAUACUCUAUGUGCUUCACUUAUAUCUUUUGAGUUAUAUAAUUUUGCUCAGGUGCUUCACUUAUAUCUUUUAGAGCACGGUGGUGGAUUUGUUUUAUAGAAACUAUUGAUCUCUCAUGCUUCACUUAGAUUAUUUUGAGAGUCUUAAUAGCAUGGUAAUUUGCUUAAUAAUAAUAUGCUUGGUAUUCAAGAUUUGUAAAACUUUAUUUUGAGUGCGUUGAAUACUAAGAAAAAAAUUGAUGCUUGAUAAUUGUUUUGAGAUAUGAGGAUGGUGAUAUUAGAGUCAUGCUAGUUGAGUAGUUGUGAAUUUGAAAAAUGCUUGUGUUAAAGUUUGUGAUUCCCGUAGCAUGCACGUAUGGUGAACCGUUAUGUGAUGAAGUCGGAGCAUGAUUUAUUUAUUGAUUUUCUUCCUUAUGAGUGGCGGUCGGGGACGAGCGAUGGUCUUUUCCUACCAAUCUAUCCCCCUAGGAGCAUGCGCGUAAUACUUUGCUUUGAUAACUUCUAGAUUUUUGCAAUAAGUACAUGAGUUCUUUAUGACUAAUGUUGAGUCCAUGGAUUAUACACACUUUCCUUCCUUCCACCAUUGCUAGCCUCUCUAAUACCGCGCACUUUCGCCGGUAUCAUACACCCACCAAAUACCUUCCUCAAAACAGCCACCAUACCUACCUAUCAUGGCAUUUCCAUAGCCAUUCCGAUAUAUAUUGCCAUGCAACUUUCCACCGUCCCGUUCAUUAUGACACGCUCCAUCAUUGUCAUAUUGCUAGAAUGAUCAUGUAGUUGACAUCGUAUUUGUGGCAAAGCCACCGUUCAUAAUUCUUUCAUACAUGUCACUCUUGAUUCAUUGCAUAUCCCGGUACACCGCCGGAGGCAUUCAUAUAGAGUCAUAUUUUGUUCUAAGUAUUGAGUGGUAAUUGUUGAGUUGUAAGAAAAAGAAAAAGUGUGAUGAUCAUCAUUUUUAGAGCAUUGUCCCAAGUGAGGAAAGGAUGAUGGAGACUAUGAUUCCCCCACAAGUCGGGAUGAGACUCCGGACGAAAAAAAGAAGAAGAAAAAGAGGCCAUAAAAAAGAGAAGGCCCAAAAAAAUGAGAGAAAAAGAGAGAAGGGACAAUGUUACUAUCCUUUUACCACACUUGUGCUUCAAAGUAGCACCAUGAUCUUCAUGAUAGAGAGUCUCUCAUUCUGUCACUUUCAUAUACUAGUGGGAAUUUUUCAUUAUAGAACUUGGCUUGUAUAUUCCAAUGAUGGACUUCCUCAAAAUGCCCUAGGUCUUCGUGAGCAAGCGAGUUGGAUGCACACCCACUUAGUUUUUUUUGUUGAUCUUUCAUAUACUUAUAGAUCUAGUGCAUCUGUUGCAUGUCAAUCCCUACUCACUCACAUUGAUAUCUAUUGAUGGGAAUCUCCAUAGCUCGUUGAUACGCCUAGUUGAUGUGAGACUAUCUUCCCCUCUUUUUGUCUUCUCCACAACCACCAUUCUAUUCCACAUAUAGUGAUAUAUCCAUGGCUCACGCUCAUGUAUUGCGUGAAGAUCGAAAAAGUUUUGAAAAUGUCAAAGGUAUGAAACAAUUGCUUGGCUUGUCAUCGGGGUUGUGCAUGAUUUAAAUACUUUGUGUGGUGAAGAUAGAGCAUAGCCAGACUAUAUGAUUUUGUAGGGAUAGCUUUCUUUGACCAUGUUAUUUUGAGAAGACAUAAUUGCUUUGUUAGUAUGCUUGAAGUAUUAUUAUUUUUAUGUCAACAUGAACUUUUGUCUUGAAUCUUUUGAAUCUGAAUAUUCAUAUCACAAUUAAGAAGAUUUACAUUGAAAUUAUGCCAAGUAGCACUCCGCAUCAAAAAUUCUGUUUUUAUCAUUUACCUACUCGAGGACGAGCAGGAAUUAAGCUUGGGGAUGCUUGAUAUGUCUCCAACGUAUCUAUAAUUUUUGAUUGCUCCAUGCUAUAUUAUCUACUGUUUUGGACAUUAUUGGGCUUUAUUAUCCACUUUUAUAUUAUUUUUGGACUAACCUAUUAACCGAAGGCCCAGCCCGGAAUUGCUAUUUUCUGCCUGUUUUAGGGUUUCGAAGAAAAGGAAUAUCAAACGGAGUCCAAACGGAAUGAAACCUUCGGGAACGUGAUUUUCUCACUGAAUACAACUCAGGAGACUUGGACCCUACAUCAAGCCAAUUAACAGGAGGCCACGAGGUAGGGGGCGCGCCUGCCCCCCCCCCCCCAGGCGCGCCCUCCACCCUCGUGGGCCCCCUGUUGCUCCACCGACGUACUUCUUCCUCCUAUAUAUAUCCACGUACCCCCAAACGAUCAGAUACGGAGCCAAAAACCUAAUUCCACCGCCACAACUUUCUGUAUCCACGAGAUCACAUCUUGGGGCCUGUUCCGGAGCUCCGCCGGAGGGGGCAUCAAUCACGGAGGGCUUCUACAUCAUCAUCCAAGCCCCUCNNNNNNNNNNNNNNNNNNNNNNNNNNNNNNNNNNNNNNNNNNNNNNNNNNNNNNNNNNNNNNNNNNNNNNNNNNNNNNNNNNNNNNNNNNNNNNNNNNNNNNNNNNNNNNNNNNNNNNNNNNNNNNNNNNNNNNNNNNNNNNNNNNNNNNNNNNNNNNNNNNNNNNNNNNNNNNNNNNNNNNNNNNNNNNNNNNNNNNNNNNNNNNNNNNNNNNNNNNNNNNNNNNNNNNNNNNNNNNNNNNNNNNNNNNNNNNNNNNNNNNNNNNNNNNNNNNNNNNNNNNNNNNNNNNNNNNNNNNNNNNNNNNNNNNNNNNNNAUCCCAUCUUGGGGCCUGUUCCGGAGCUCCGCCGGAGGGGGCAUCAAUCACGGAGGGCUUCUACAUCAUCAUCCAAGCCCCUCCGAUGAAGUGUGAGUAGUUUACUUCAGACCUACGGGUCCAUAGUUAGUAGCUAGAUGGCUUCUUCUCUCUUUUUGGAUCUCAAUACAAUGUUCUCCCCCUCUCUCGUGGAGAUCUAUUUGAUGUAAUCUUCUUUUUGCGGUGUGUUUGUUGAGACCGAUGAAUUGUGGGUUUAUGAUCCAGUCUAUCUAUGAAUAAUAUUUGAAUCUUCUCUGAAUUCUUUUAUGUAUGAUUGGUUAUCUUUGCAAGUCUCUUCGAAUUAUCAGUUUGGUUUGGACUACUAGAUUGGUUUUUCUUGCCAUGAGAGAAGUGCUUGGGUUCGAUCUUGCGGUGUCCUUUCCUAGUGACAGAAGGGGCAGCAAGGCACGUAUUGUAUUGUUGCCAUCGAGGAUAACAAGAUGGGGUUUUUAUCAUAUUGCAUGAAAUUAUCCCUCUACAUCAUGUCAUCUUUCUUAAGGUGUUACUCUGUUUUUAACUUAAUACUCUAGAUGCAUGCUGGAUAGUGGUCUACUUGUCUCGGACGUGAUGCCUAUAUACAUGAUCAUACCUAGAUAUUCUCAUAACUAUGCUCAAUUCUGUCAAUUGCUCAACAGUAAUUUGUUCACCCACCGUAGAACUUAUGCUCUUGAGAGAAGCCACUAGUGAAACCUAUGGCCCCCGGGUCUCUUUCUCAUCAUAUCAAUCUCCAUCACUUUAUUAUCACUUUGCCUUUUUACUUUGGCUUUUACUUUUCACUUUGCAUCUUUAUACCAAAAAUACCAAAAAUAUUAUUUAUCAUCUCUAUCAGAUCUCACUUUCGUAAGUGACCGUGAAGGGAUUGACAACCCCUAAGCGCAUUGGUUGCAUUGAGCUAUUGUUUAUGUGUAGGUAUGAGGGACUCGCGCAUAGCCUCCUACUGGAUUGAUACCUUGGUUCUCAAAAACUGAGGGAAAUACUUACGCUACUUUGCUACAUCAUCGUCUCCUCUUAGGGGAAAUCCAACGCAGUGCUCAAGAGGUAGCAGUAGCACAUAAAGUGUUCCUCCGGUAAACGGGAGUUGCAUAAUCUCAUAGUCAUAGGAACAUGUAUAAGUCAUGAAGAAAGCAAUAGCAACAUACUAAACGAUCGAGUGCUAAGCUAACGGAAUGGGUCAAGUCAAUCACAUCAUUCUCCUAAUGAUGUGAUUCCGUUAAUCAAAUGACAACUCAUGUCAAUGGCUAGGAAACAUAACCAUCUUUGAUCAACGAGCUAGUCAAGUAGAGGCAUACUAGUGACACUCUGUUUGUCUAUGUAUUCACACAAGUAUUAUGUUUCUGGUUAAUACAAUUCUAGCAUGAAUAAUAAACAUUUAUCAUGAUAUAAGGAAAUAAAUAAUAACUUUAUUAUUGCCUCUAGGGCAUAUUUCCUUCAAAAAUAUCAAAUCCAAAAUUUUGAAGCUAGUUUAAAAAUAUUAUCAUGUUUAUAUGCUAAAGUUAUGGUCCAAUAGGAAUAUGCUAUCCUUAACAAGAUUUGACUUUUUUGUUUAACUAGUUGUUGAUCAAGAGUGGCACACCUGACACGUUGAGCAUGGUCCAAUUGUUGCAUCAUAAGAAAGGUGCAUGAGAUGCGUUUCGCAACAAGGCGGUCCUUGAUAGAGGCAGGGAGAGAAAACCAGCAAGAUCUAAAUUGUCGAGAGAUAGUUUUUUCAACCAUAUCUCGUGCAUGGAUCCAUCUCAUGUGGUUGCUUUGAGAUUGGUACUACUUUUCGGUUGUUGUCAAAAUUUAUCUUGUUUCAUAAUGUUUUGUUCGGGUUCCUCGCCCAAAAAAUUGUUUUGUUCGGGUUUUUCUUUCCUGGUUUUAAAGUGUAUCGUCAUAUUUCAUUGUGUACCGGUGAAAAACAAUGCAUUUGUGUCAGAUCGGAGUUGCUGAUUCACAAUGUAAUAUUAUGUUACACUUUGAAACAAGUGGGGAGGGGGGAGGGGCGAAACUAAUGUAACAUUUGAAAUCAAGACAAAAUUUAACAAAAAGAAGUUGAAUCGUAAAGCAACCACGAAUGGUGGAUUCACGCAUGUAUGAUAAGACUAUCAUUUCUGUGUUAAAAAAGGGAAACGUUUCAGAACGGCGCGCCAGCCGAACGAUUCGGUCGGUCGCUCGCCCACGCAGACGCCACGCAGCACAAGGGCCCGCACGCAAUCGUCUUUUCCCUAUCCUCUCCUCCACACACAUCUCAUCCACGCAAGCUUUGUCUCUGGAUUUCUCUUCCCCAUCUCCAUCUCCGCGGACUUCUCUGCCUUUCUCCUUGUCCUGCCUCCGGCGAGCGUCGUGGCUUCUCUGGCGAGGACAACACGGCACGGCGGGGACAAAGGAGGUAGCACGCUGGGGAGCUGAAAUCGGUGGAUGGAAAAGCUACAUCCGGCUACGCGUGAGCUGCAAUUUCUCUCCCCUGUCUCUAUCUCCGCGGACCUCUCUACCUCUCUCCUCGUCCUGCAUUCGGCGAGGGCCGCGGCUUCUCCGACGAGGACAACACGGGAGGAUGGGGGCAAAGGAGGAAGCACGCCGGGAAGCUGAAAACGGUGGACAGAAAAGCUACAACCGUCCACCAAAAAAGCUACAACCAUCCACCAAAAGAGCUGGAACCAGGCAAGGGGAGCUGCAAACCAUGGCCACAAGAGCUGGAACCGCAGCCUAGCGGAGCUGCAACAGCGGUCCAGUGGAGCUGCAAGGCGACCCCCUGCGGCUGGGAUGUUGCAACUGUUGUCCGGCGAGCUGAAACCGCGGUGCAGUGGAGCUGCAAAGGAAGGGGGGCGACCUCUUGAUUUUUGGGAUGAUGCACCCGUGGACCGGCGGAGCGAGAUUGGUGCUGGAACCAGUCCGACGGAGCGCCGGCGACGCUACUCCCCGGAGUUGCGGUGGUCACCACCGGUAGUGCGGGAACUUUCCAUCAAGGAUGCUGGAAACGCCCGGCGAAAAAGCUGCAACCAGUCGAGGGCGACAGGAGCGCGACGCCACGGGCGCAAGGGCAAGCGCGGAGUCAUGGCUAGUCAGCAAGGGGAGGAAGCAGGAGACCUGGGGGAGCUGUCGAGAAGAAGAAGAAGACGAGCGCACGAGAAGACGAGGGAAGGAAUCAUGCGGUGUAGAUGCGCGCAUCGUGCGGCUAGGGGCUGACCGGCCGAACGAUUCGGCCGGCGCACCGGCGCGUGCGCCUAUUGUUGCCCUAAAAAAAGACUAUCAUUUCUCAGAUUGUCGAUCCAAUGGGCCUGGAAAUUUUGAAACGCCACCAAAUAGACGAACGUGAAACGGGCACUCCGAGAAGGAAAAAUAAAUAGAAAUCCACUCAAAAAAAGAGAAAGAAAUAGAAAUGGAAAUUUUUAAAUGGUAAUAACGCUAUCACAGCACACGUUCCAAAUUUGAUCGCGCCAGAAACAUGCGAAAUUUAAACGCCGUAGCUGUAGCCAACCCUUGCCCGCGACGGAUCCACCCUAAACUUGGACGUGUCUCCCUUAAAUCUCGCGUCCUCCUCUCCGCAACCCACACCGACCAACCAGCCUCGCUCCGCUCGUUGCCAUUGUUUCUCCCAUGAUAGUCUGGGCGUCCUGAUAUAUCUCCUGCCCGAUGUCGGCGAUAGUGGGGCACGACGACGGCUCGCCGCCGUCCCCGCUCCACCUGCUGGAGGUCACGGUCAUCUCCGCGCAGGACCUGCACCGGCGCCACCGGCUCAGCCACCGGGUGCGCGCGUACGCCGUGGCGUGGAUCGACGGCACGCGGAAGCUGCGCACGGAGGUCGACCUCGCCGGCGGGGCCGACCCGACGUGGAACGACCGGUUCCUCUUCCGCGUGGACGCCGGGUUCCUCAAGUCGGAGACCGCCGCCGUCGUCGUCGAGGUGCGCGCGACCCGGAGGUUUGGCUCUGAUGUUGUCCUUGGACGCACGGGGAUCGUGGUGAGCACCUUCGUGCGCGUGCACUCGUCCAGGCUCACUGCUGCUCCUGCGGUGGCGGUGGCGCCCACCGGCCGGCAGGUGGCGGCGCUGCAGCUCAGGCGCCCGCGGUCGCUCCGGCCGCAGGGCGUGCUCAACGUGGCGGUGACGCUGCUGGGCGCCGCCCAGGCGCGCGCCGUGGCGCCCAUCUACCACAUGCCGGGGUCCCCGGACGCGUUCGCCAUGAAGGACCUCGUGGCGAUGAGGCCGGCGCCGUUCCUGUACGAGAUCACGGAGGAGGGCGCGGCCGAGGAGAGGGGUCUGGAGUACUACGCGCGCCGCCAGCGGCCGUUGGUUGAGCACUCCGGGCCGCUGGACCCGAGGGGCGCCGCCAUCGAGCAGAGCAAGCUGGCCAUGAAGCUGGAGAAGUGGAGGGUGGAUCUGUCCCCGGACCACGGGGAUCAUGACGGUCGCGGCGGCGGCAAGUCAGGGAGGUGGCUGCGCAGGACCUCCUGCUUCGGCCGCCAGGAGAGCUGGGAAAGGUAACCGGUGAUCAAUCAAUCAAAGCGGCCGGGUGGCAUGGCUGGCAGGAUGUGGGUAGUACAAGAGAGGUCGAUUGCUUGCCAAAUAAGUUCUUUUUUGCUCGCUAUGAACAGUUUAAUUUGUUGGUUUAUUCUUAUCACAUCGUGUAGCACAAAUAGCAAGAGGAAGAAAUUUAUUUUAGACCCUCGAAUUACUUCAAAUUAACUUUCGACCACAAAGAAAGUAAACCACCCACAUCCCUUCUCCGAAUCGGAAUCGAUUUGCCAACAUAGUUCAGGGAAAGACAUGAUCGUUGUAGGUAGGCUCCAACUUAUAGAAGCCAAUAUGUUUAUUUAAUUGAUAUUGGUUCUCUAAUAAUUAGAAAGGUACACUAGAUUAUAGUCCUUCCACCCGUUUCGGUCAUCUCCCUUCAGCCUCCCACAUAAUAUGUCCAUUUUCCUCUCUCCUUGUUUAGCCUUACAUAUUAGAUGAGAAUUUAGUAGGUUCUGGCGCCGAAACUUCACCAUCCUGAAACAAGAACCGCAACAACUUCCUAGCCCUCUCAGAGCUCAGGCACAUCCGGCCGUCCAUUCCGGUAGCUUGUGCCCAUUAUGGUGGUGAGUUCUCUAACUCAUAGGGGUGAUUUGGUACCAUCCAUUGCCAUCAUCUCUACCCAUUCCAUCUUUUCCAUUAAAAAUUCAUGACUUGUGUUCUUAUGCUCCAUUAACAUUCAUUUGAGGUUCUUGUUGAGAAUGCCAAUAACAUGGUUCUUUUAGCUAUGUUUGUUGGUGCCUCCUUUCUUUUAUUUUUUGCAAAUUUGUCCAUUAUAGGGCCUUAUUCAUGAUAGACGAACUCCUUCACGUUUUAAAUAUGAUGUGGAUGUGAUACAACCCUGCCCCACCAUAUCAAUGCAAGUCCCUAAGUUCUCCCACGAUGAACCUGCCAACACCUAUUUUCCUUAGACCUCUCCACUUGACAUUACCAAGGAUAGUUUGCUACCAAAUGCAUGGACCCUUUCUUGCUUAGGUGUAUAGGAGUAAGCAUGAUAGAGGUGGCACGUAGAUGCACAAUCAAGCGUCCAGAACUACCAGACUUGGCACAAUGCUUCUCAAGCGCCAAGCACAUUUGAUACUAUCGAACAAAGCCUCAAGAACAACAAGACCCACCCCCAAAACCAUUGAGCCGAGCAGAGUGUGCUCUCGAUGGCAAGCUACUUCUAGAACUUGAAAGAACCAUGUCCUUGACACUACCAAACACAAAACAUGCCUCGGAGACUACAUGCGUUGAGGACUAUCGGGGUUAACCAUUCGGUAGUACCAGACUUCGUUGCCUGCGUACGACCACCAUGUGGCUCCACUGGAUUGUAAGUUGCCUUUGGCAUACUAAACGUAGGUUAUGAGGAUAUAGACAAUAAAUACCCCUUCAUCCCAUCCUUAGGAUUAGACCAUGACUAUCUCCUCCAAGUUUAUGCGGUGCUCGCUGGGAGCAGUCUGAGGCCCUUUCCCACGAGUGGGUGACUACAUCAUGGGCCCAUCUAAAUGCUGGUUGAAACACUCUUGUGCGCACACUGCCUUAUCCAUCCGAUCCUCUCCAAUAGCUUCCUAUAACCAACGACAGCGGCGGCUACACGAAUAGCGAGGAGGAUGGCGCACCCCGUGCUUCGUUGCAUCUGCCUGUUGCACGCCAUCGGCCCACCAACCUCAUCUAGCUAGCCCUUGAUAUGUCGUCGCCGCUCUGGACUUUAUGUCAUUCUGACUACUAGCUUCUCUCGAGGCCACCACACGCUUCUACACACUGGGCACGCAUGAUGUGCUUGACCUUGCUACCACUCAUGGUUCUUGCUCCUUUGUUUUUCAAUCUCAGAGCCCGCGUCAUUGUCAACUGAAUUCCCGCGGUCUAUGAGUCGGCGCGUGCCCUCAAUGCUUUGCUUCUACACCAUGGCCCCCCUAUUCUAUCAAUCAUUGCUCGCUUUGCUCUUUGUUGUUGUCAGCAACCAGAAAGGGAAGGACUUGUGUUAUAUCCAUCUCUUAUCCCCUACCAUGGAGGAUCUCCACACGAUGAGGGCCUCCCGAGUGCAGCUUGUGGCACGUGAGGCCGGAGGAGGGCGAUCAGUGGCUGAAGACGGAGGCAGCUUGGUCCUGCUCACUGACCAUGGCGGCCCAACCCAGCCUUGCGUCACCACCAAUUGCGACUUGGGUAUUCAAUUCAACCACAUCCCUUUUCUCCCUCAAUGUCAAACUCCUUCCUCUGCCGAUAAUCAUUAACAUGGGACCUUGGUACCUCACGAACUGUGGUGUCACAUUCAGUGUGUUGUCCAGCUAUUGUUCUCGUGAUGGGUACCCCCUAGUAGAUGCUUCUACGUGGACGGGAAGGGCCUCUAAACGCUCCAUAGGAUCAAGGGAACAACAUCAACAUCCACCAAUUCUUAGAUGUUGACCUUGCACCUGUCUUUAGCCAACAAUGUAUUCAUUUGUAUGCCUGCCUCCAUUCUUGGAUGAUUGCAGCGAGCUAGAAAUUGAACAUAUCCUUCAUCUUAGUUUGGAUUAUUUGUUAUCCGUCGAGGGAAUCAGAUAAAGACAAAGGUAAUCGUGUGCAUGUUUUAUUGUCUUCUCCCUUUUGAUAUAAUAAGGUUGUAAUAUGCUUGAUCUUAGGAAUGUGUGUCCUAGUCUCAUUGUUUUAGAAAUUGUGCAUGCUGCUUUUGCACAAGAUUUCGGUAAAUUUACAUUUUAUAGUAUUGCCUAUCAUCAUUUUUGUGUGGUUCAUUGUACAUGUAGUUGACUGUAGAAGCUAUUCAGGUGUGAGGUCACUGUUGAUGGAAUAGCACCAAACCAAACCAUGUGUCUGUUAUCAUGUUGUGAAUGCACCUGGUAAUCAAUUGCACAUGGUGAUACUUAUAUGUUUAUUAACAAUGCUUGUGCUAGUGAGACUACGUGCAGAUAUCUUCUUUGCUCUGUACAUAGAGUGAUGACUACGAUAGAAGUUGAGCCUAUGGUUCAAAAAAUAGAGAGAAAACAAUCCCUGCCCAUCAGAUUGGAGUUGGAUGCUCAAGGCACUUAAGUGGGUACAUUAGUGGGGAGUAACUUAUACUAGUAUGUUACUAGUCUGUGUUACUACCUCUAUAGUGGGUAGUAACAUAUAUGUAGUGUCAUGCACCACUUCAUUUAUUACUUUGUAUUAGUAUUUUACAUUGGGAACCGCUAUGUGAUGGUAACAUAUUAGGCUGGCCAUAGUGGGGGUAACAUAAGUAGUAUCAUAUACUUGGGACUCGUAACAUGCUUACGUGGCAGGGGAUUAAACAAGAGAGAGAAGAUCAUAGUAACAUAGGUAGAUACCGUAACAUAAUAAAUAUGAUGUUACUAUGUGUCUUGCAUGGCAAUAAACGAGACCAUCUAUGAUACUACUUUAUGAUACUAUGCACUAUGGAUAUAGUAUCAUACACUACUAUCAUAUGCAUGAUACUAGUAUAUGUUACUCCCCACUAUGACCAGCCUUAUGUUACUCUAUUUGUCUCUCCAUCCUCUUUAAUUACUUGCAACAUCACUUUUUUUGCUUAUGUGGCAUUCAUGUUCCUAUAUUACUUCCACCACUAGCCUUACGACUCCCGACCCCAUCCACCCACUAUAGUUCUUUUAUGAAAAUCCUUCAUUCAGAAUGUCAUUUAAAUUAAAAACGGGAGGAUCUCCAUCCCAAACAUAAAAGGAACUAGAAUCAAAAGCAUUUCUAGCUAGUUUAUACGCCACUUUAUUGACUUCCCUUAGGCAAUGAUGAAUAGAGAUUGUGCCAAGGCUCUGAACCACCUCACUGUAGUUAUAUAUAAAACAUAACAUUUGCAAUAACCACAUCAAGUAUUAUGUACACUCCAAUUGUUAUGCCAACGACCUUUCACAGAUGUGUGCAUAGUGACGAUGUCCCUUAUCCUCUUACUUAAAAAGAAUGAAUCUUAAUUUGCACAUGUAUAUCUUUCAUAUCUAAAUAGCUAGCCCCCACUAACAUAUUUCUCUCAACAUACAACAUGUCAUCUCAUCAUUCAACAUGCAUAGAAAAAGGCUCACAAAACAUGCAACUAUGUAUAUUAAAAAUCCACUUCAACAUGCAAACAUGCAUGCAUGUACAAUUCCAUUCUAAUAUGACAUUUAAAUGAAAUUAUUAUAUACUUUCAAAAACUAUUAUUUCAAAUAUUCAUGUUCCAUAUAACCAAAACUUCAUUGAAAUAUUGCAAAACAUUCCUGCAACAAUGUGCGGAGCACCAUCUGGUUUUAUAAAAUGUUGUACCUAUAUAUCUGAGAAAAGUAUACUUUUCGUCUCUUAAUUCCCCGGUAAAAUAAAAUGAUAGGACCAUUUAGUUACGUACAUCCCAUGCCCAAGAUCAGCGCCACGUGGGCUAGGCCACCUAAAGUCACAUCCGGAGGUCGCAACCAUUGGCUUGAAGUAAGUUCGAUUGCAUAUUGAAAGAAUGAAGUGAAUUUGGUUUCUAACGGCGGCAUUUUUCUUGUUACAUAUGAGCUUAGCUUUGGCGGCAAUAUCGAUCAAUCUACCGGGUAGUAAUCAUCAUAAUCGUGCAUUCUUAAAAAGUUGAUCCCAAUUCUUUUAACAUGCAAAGUGUCCACCUCAACAUCCCACUAAGCCAUGCAUUUAAGUCUUAUGUCCCACUAAGCCAAUUAAAAUCAGCCACAUAAGCGAGUCAUGCAUUUAACUUAUAAAUUACAAUUAUUUUUAAUUGCAUUAGUCUAUGCAUGUAAGCUGCCACAUCUUACAUUCAUGUUAUCAUGUAACUCCGAAGUUUUUAUUCUACUUUUAAACACUUUUUUUAUUAAUUUUUAAGCUCACUUCAACGUCCUACUAAGUCAUGCAUUUAAGUCUUCUCCCCCACUAAGUCAUGCAAAAUCAACCACAUAAGCAAGUCAUGCAUUUAACUUAUAAAUUACAAUUGUUUUCAAUUGCAUUAGUCUAUGCAUGUAACACUGCCACGUCAUACAUUCAUAUUAGUCAUUCUUCACAUUUUUUUAAAUGACAUUUUUAACUGUAAUUCAAAAGUUUUUAUUUUACUUUUAGACUCUUUCUUCUAUUGAUUUUCAAGCUUAUACUUUCUUUUCAUUAGAUAUAGUUAUUUUUAGCAACAUUUAUACAUUUUUUUAAUAAAGUUACCGCAACAACGCGUGGGGCAUUAUCUAGUUAAAGCAAUUUAUGUACCGGAAAUAGACAAUGGGCCUCGGGUCCCAUUACACCCAAAAUGAAAGAAAAUAUUAGAAAGUUCAAAAAGAGUCAAAAAUUCCUUAAUCUUUUUGGAAUCAAACAUGAUCAAGCAUUACACUCUUGUGAAUUUUUUUGUGAAGGACUAGCUUCGAUCGACUCCACGGCCAAGAAAACAAAUUUGAGAUUACAAAAGGCAUGAAUAGUAACUUAUGUAUAGUGUCGAGUUUGUUUGUUUGUUCUCCCAGAAUAUUUAUGUAUAGUGCUCUAACGGCAGCUACACUACAUAUACCCCGUACCGCUCGUUCCAUAGCUCAUCAAGCAACUCGAUCGGCCACUCCACUAAGAACACAUUAAAAUGGACGCCCAGAACAAGGAGGUGGACGCCCUGGUCCAGAAGAUCACCGGCCUCCACGCCGCCAUCGCCAAGCUGCCCUCGCUCAGCCCGUGCCCCGCCGUCGACGCGCUCUUCACCGACCUCGUCACCGCGUGCGUCCCCCCGAGCCCCGUGGACGUGACCGAGCUCGGCCCGGAGGCGCAGGCGAUGCGCGAGGGCCUCAUCCGCCUCUGCUCCGAGGCCGAGGGGAAGCUGGAGGCGCACUACUCCGACAUGCUCGCCGCCUUCGACAACCCGCUCGACCACCUCGGCGUCUUCCCUUACUACAGCAACUACAUCAACCUCAGCAAGCUGGAGUACGAGCUCCUGUCGCGCUACGUGCCCGGCGGCAUCGCCCCGGCCCGUGUCGCCUUCAUCGGCUCCGGCCCGCUGCCGUUCAGCUCCUACGUCCUCGCCGCGCGCCACCUGCCCGACACGGUGUUCGACAACUACGACCUGUGCGGCGCGGCCAACGCCCGCGCGAGCAGGCUGUUCCGCGCGGACAGGGACGUGGGCGCCCGCAUGUCGUUCCACACCGCCGACGUCGCGGACCUCACCGACGUGCUCGCUACGUAUGAUGUCGUCUUCCUGGCCGCGCUCGUGGGCAUGGCGGCCGAGGACAAGGCCAAGGUGAUCGCGCACCUUGGCGCGCACAUGGCGGACGGGGCGGCCCUCGUCGUGCGCAGCGCGCACGGGGCGCGUGGGUUCCUGUACCCGAUCGUCGAUCCCCAGGACAUCGGCCGAGGCGGGUUCGAGGUGCUCGCCGUGUGUCACCCAGACGACGACGUGGUGAACUCCGUCAUCAUCGCGCAAAAGACCAACGACGUGCAUGAGUAUGGACUUGGCAACGGGCGUGGUGGACGGUACGCGCGGGGCACGGUGCCGGUGGUCAGCCCGCCCUGCAGGUUCGGCGAGAUGGUGGCGGACGUGACCCAGAAGAGAGAGGAGUUUGCCAACGCGGAACUGGCCUUCUGAUCGCUGUGAGGUCAUCGUCCGUACCCGGCUGCUAAAUUGCUUGCAAUCGUACAGUACGUGGUAAUUUUCCUACUCCCGCUAGUGCUAUCUAUGUAUGCAUUUCAAUUAGUGUGUUGUUUGUACCCAAUAAUGUCGGUGUGGUGUUUACACGUGCAUGUCUUGUACACUCAGUCUCCGAAAGGCAGGGUAGAUCAGGAUAGUGUGCAAUGGAACAUUAUGUGUUGUUGUAGGUGUAUGAGUUGGGAAUAAGAUGAUUUUCGUUCACAAAUACNNNNNNNNNNNNNNNNNNNNNNNNNNNNNNNNNNNNNNNNNNNNNNNNNNNNNNNNNNNNNNNNNNNNNNNNNNNNNNNNNNNNNNNNNNNNNNNNNNNNNNNNNNNNNNNNNNNNNNNNNNNNNNNNNNNNNNNNNNNNNNNNNNNNNNNNNNNNNNNNNNNNNNNNNNNNNNNGGUCCCAUAAUGUUAGCUCACAAAAACGCCUUACAGUGUGGGAUGGAGGGAGUACGAUGUAAUCAUUGUCUUAUUCAUUGCCAGUUGUCCACUGCUCCGCAUAACGCACACACAUGCGACGGUGACAUGUUUCGACGAUGCAGAACAUCACUAGUAGGAAGUGAGUGACGAGCCAGCCUCCAUGUGAAAAUUUUCAGUUUUGAAGGAACUUGCAAGCCCCAAAUUGAUGACCAUCCUUUUGAUUCACCGCUGGACAUCUCCUCGGCCUCAUCUAGCCAAUCUUCCCUUCCCAUCUUCAUCUUGUGGAUCAAAUUGUAGGCUGAUUUUACUGAGAAACGCCUCUUCGGAUCGCCCGACCAUGCCCAAACGUCAUCCACAUGUCUUGUACAGAGGGAGAUCUUCAGGAUUGCCUCCGCAUCGGCUGAAAUAAAAACUUGAUGAACUACCUCCUCUCGCCAGCAUACCAUGGUUGGUUCGAUGAGAUUGCUCACCAUCAGCAGAGGAUCAGCCACCCUAGGCGGAAAAGGUUUCAUGAGGCCACUUCUUGAGAGCCAGUUAUGAUGCCAAAUUCUAGUCGUUGCUCCAUCCCCAAUGCGCCUGAUGAUCCCAUGGUUCAAAACAUUUCUUCCAUCAAUAAUGGCUCGCCAGACCUGCGAUGGAUGGGGGCCUAACUCCGCCUCCAAUAAGGUCGUCGUUGGGUAGUAGACGGACUUAAGAAUGCGAGCACUUAGGGAGUCCGGUUCUUGUAAAAGUCGCCAAGCCUGCCUUGACAGUAGGGCAACAUUGAAGAUCUCAAGAUCAUGAAAACCCAGCCCUCCUAGGUCCUUCGGCCUCGUCAUGACAUCCCACGAGACCCAACAUGGAUUCCUUCUUCCUUGUUUACUUCCCCAUCAAAAUUGCCGUAUGAUGGAGGUUACACUCUCACAAACUCGUCUAGGAAGCCGAAAGCAAGACAUUGAAAAAACUGGGAUCGCUUGUGCGACCGGUUUGAUGAGGACUUCCUUUCCACCAACUGAAAGCAUUUUUCGCAUCCAUCCUCUUACUUUCUCCCACACUCUGUCACGAAGGUACUUGAACGUGCCGUUCUUGGAGUGAAAGAACAUGCGGUGCCCCCAUGUUUGGUUUUGGAAAUUGAUGACAAUCUCUAUGGACUAAUGGUUGCCUUGAGUUAUAUUUGAAGGUUUUGUCCAUAGGCUUUUCUUGGAGUACAUGUGUUGGUUUCAAGAAAAGUUUGUGUCGACCAAGGUGCUAUUCAAGGAAUUAUCCAAAGAUUGGUCAUUUGAGAGUUGAGCUUAUUGCAAGCAUGUCUUGAAGAAGAAGAUUGUGUGAUCAUUCAUGUUUACCUUCAAGACAUCAUCCAAACGAAGAGAGUUGGAAAGAUUCAAGGUUGAUCAAGACUAAGUCAAGAGUGAAUCAAGUUGAUCAACUCACAAAGCAUAGAAGAUGUACCAAGAGGGAUCAAGUGAUCCCAUGGUUUGGUAAGCAUUGUCCAUUGUGCUUUGUGUACUAAUCCAUGGUCUAUGUGAGAGUUCUACAUGGGGUUAGGUACAUGUUCAUGGGCUUGUGUCAAGAGGAAGAUAUCUCUCAACCCAUGGAGAGGAUGACAUCAAGUGGUGAUCGUCAUCAAGAUUGCCGUGUGCAAGUUCAAGUGGAUCAUCGCGAAGAGAUCAAGUGCUUGAAGCUUGCCGGCCAUUGUGGUGACAAUGGACUUGUGAAGAUGUGCCGAAGAGUGGCUCACCCAUAGUGGUCUAUGGGGGAGCAAUCAUCUAGUCUUCAUCGUGCCAACACAAUCAAGAAAGGUGGUCCAACUUGAGGAAGUCAAGAUCGUCAUCAUCUAGCUCAAGUGGACCAUGUGCAAGGCAAAGGUUUGCCCUUGAUAGGUUUUCUAUUUUACCGGUCUCAUGAUGGUAGUUGGGAGACCGGGUUAUAGGAUCGAUUGCCGUACUAUCAAGGGGGGCUCUCGAUGAGUAGCUCGGUCGUAUCGUUCGUAAAGAGCUCAAACCAUUGCAUCCUUGCAUCAUCUUUCUUGGUUCUUGUUUGGUUCUCUUUGUGAGUCUUAGAGCUUAUGGUCAUCUUGAUGACAAGCUUGAGUUUAUCGAAAACGGAGUUCGCAUGCUUCUUCUAUGAUGUUUUCGAUGUUGGAGGUUUUGCCGGUUCUUCUCGGUUGGAGGUUUCACUCGCUGUUUUGAUGCUACUCGUCGUCUUGUUUUCAACAAGCUUGAGUUUGCUCAAUUCGAAGCUCAUAUGCAGAAGUUAUGGCAGUUCUGAUUUUCUUGAGUGUGAUUUUUGUCAGGGUCCCAGCGGUAGUACCGUGGUACCCAGCGGUAGUACCGCUGAGGAGUCACAAGCGGCAGUACCGCUCCGCAGCGGUAGUACCGCUUGAUGGUCUCAGCAGUAGUACCGUUGCGGCGCCGUGCUCCUACCGCCUCGAAUCGAGUGCGCUUUUUCUCGUGUCGGGUUUUGCGGCACUUGCUGCGGUAGUAGUGGCGGUAGUACCGCUUAUUAGCGGUAGUACCGCCCUGCCUCUACAGUAGUAUCGCUCUAGGUCCCAGCCCCAGCCCCUUUUCUUCUGGCGCGGCAAUACCGCUGAAGGGGAGCGGUAGUACCGCUUAUGAGCGGUAGUACCGCCCUGCCUCUGCGGUAGUACCGCUCUCUACGGGGCUGAGUGGGGGAUAACGGUUGGAUUUUCCCCCUCCUAUAAAAGGGGGUCUUCUUCCCCUUUGAACCUUAUCUUUUGAGCUCGUGUUCUUCCCCCAUUGUUGACCUUCUUCGAGCUUGCUAACUCUCAAUACCUCCAUGGAUUCUUGCUAGUUUUUGAGGGAAAAGAGAGAGGAGAUCUAGAUCCACAUUUCCACCAAUCACUUUCUCCUCUACGUGAGGGGAACCCCUUGGAUCUAGAUCUUGGAGUUCUUGGUGUUCUCUUUCUUGUUCUUCCUCUCAUUUUCCUCCCUAGCAUUAGUUGCUUCGGUGGAAUUUGAGAGAGAAGGACCUGGGCACUCCGUGUGCCCUUGUCAUUGCAUUUGGUGCAUCGGUUUGAGUUCUCCACGUGAUACGUGGAAGUUACAAGUUGAGAAGCUUAUUACUCUUGGGUGCUUGGUACCCUUGAGCUUGUUCCUCUUGGGUGCUUGGGCUCCCUAGACGGUUGUUGGUGUUCGGAGCUCAAUCAUUGUGGUGCAAAGCUCCGGGUAAGCAUCGGGGUCUCCAAUUAGGUUGUGGAGAUCGCCCCGAGCAAUUUGACGGGUACCGGUGACCGCUCCCAAGGGUUGCCAAAGUGUACGGGUUCGGUGACCGCCCCCAAGGGUUGCCAUUUGUACGGGUUCGGUGACCGCCCUCAAGGGUCCCUUAGUGGAAUCACGGCAUCUUGCAUUGUGCGAGAGGGUGAGGAGAUUACGGUGGACCUAGUGGCUUCUUGGGGAGCAUUGUGCCUCCACACCGCUCCAAACGGAGAUUAGCAUCCGCAAGGGUGUGAACUUCGGGAUACAUAGUCGUCUCCGCGUGCCUUGGUUAUCUCUUACCCGAGCCCCUUUUACUUAUGCACUUUACUUUGUGAUAGCCAUAUUGUUUCUUGUCAUAUAUCUUGCUAUCACAUAGUUGCUUAUCUUUCUUAGCAUAAGUUGUUGGUGCACAUAGGUGAGCCUAGUUGCUUUAGGCUUUGUGCUUGGAAAAUUAACCGCUAGGUUUAUUCCGCAUUUGUUCAAGCCUAAACCAUAAUUAUUUUAAAACGCCUAUAGGAAAUAUGCCCUAGAGGCAAUAAUAAAAGCAUUAUUAUUAUAUUUCCUUGUUCAUGAUAAUUGUCUUUAUUCAUGCUAUAAUUGUGUUAUCCGGAAAUCGUAAUACAUGUGUGAAUAACAGACACCAACAUGUCCCUAGUAAGCCUCUAGUUGACUAGCUCGUUGAUCAACAGAUGGUCAUAGUUUCCUGACUAUGGACAUUGGAUGUCAUUGAUAACGAGAUCACAUCAUUAGGAGAAUGAUGUGAUGGACAAGACCCAAUCCUAAACAUAGCUUAAAGAUCGUAUAGUUCGUUUGCUAGAGUUUUUCCAAUGUCAAAGUAUCUUUUCCUUAGACCAUGAGAUCGUGUAACUCCCGGAUACCAUAGGAGUGCUUUGGGUAUACCAAACGUCACAACGUAACUGGGUGACUAUAAAGGUAUACUACGGGUAUCUCCGAAAGUGUCUGUUGCAUUGACACGGAUCAAGACUGGGAUUUGUCACUCCGUAUGACGGAGAGGUAUCACUGGGCCCACUCGGUAAUGCAUCAUCAUUAUGAGCUCAAAGUGACCAAGUGUCUGGUCACGGGAUCAUGCAUUACGGUACGAGUAAAGUGACUUGCCGGUAACGAGAUUGAACGAGAUAUUGGGAUACCGACGAUCGAAUCUCGGGCAAGUAACAUACCGAUUGACAAAGGGAAUUGUAUACGGGGUUGCUUGAAUCCUCGACAUCGUGGUUCAUCCGAUGAGAUCAUCGAGGAGCAUGUGGGAGCCAACAUGGGUAUCCAGAUCCCGCUGUUGGUUAUUGACCGGAGAGUCAUCUCGAUCAUGUCUGCAUGUCUCCCGAACCCGUAGGGUCUACACACUUAAGGUUCGGUGACGCUAGGGUUGUAGGGAUAUGUAUAUGCAGUAACCCGAAUGUUGUUCGGAGUCCCGGAUGAGAUCCCGGACGUCACGAGGAGUUCCGGAAUGGUCCGGAGGUAAAGAAUUAUAUAUAGGAAGUGCUAUUUCGGCCAUCGGGACAAGUUUCGGGGUUAUCGGUAUUGUACCGGGACCACCGGAAGGGUCCCGGGGGUCCACCGGGUGGGUCCACCUGCCCCCGGGACCCACAUGGGCUGUAGGGGGUGCUCCUUGGCCUACAUGGGCCAAGGGCACCAGCCCCAAGAGGCCCAUGCGCCUAGGGUUCACAAAAGGGAAGAGUCCCACUAGUGGAAGGCACCUCCUAGGUGCCUUGGGGGGGAGGGAAACCUCCCUUGGCCGCCGCCCCCCUAGGAGAUUGGAUCUCCUAGGGCCGGUGCCCCCCCUUGGCCCUCCUAUAUAUAGUGGGGGAAGGAGGGCUUUUCAUCCACGCCUUUGGUUGCCUCCUUCUCCCUCUCCAACACCUCCUCCUCCUCCAUAGUGCUUGGCGAAGCCCUGACGGAGUACUGCAGCUCCAUCACCACCACGUCGUCGUGCUGCUGCUGGAGCCAUCUUCCUCAACCUCUCCUUCCCUCUUGCUGGAUCAAGAAGAAGGAGACGUUACGCUGACCGUACGUGUGUUGAACGCGGAGGUGCCGUCCGUUCGGUGCUAGGAUCUCCGGUGAUUUGGAUCACGUCGUGUUCGACUACCUCAUCCCCGUUCUUUGAACGCUUCCGCUCGCGAUCUACAAAGGUAUGUAGAUGCAUCCGAUCACUCGUUGCUAGAUGAACUCAUAGAUGGAUCUUGGUGAAAUCGUAGGAAAAUUUUUGUUUUCUGCAACGUUCCCCAACAGUGGUAUCAGAGCUAGGUCUAUGCGUAGUUCUUCUUGCGCGAGUAGAACACAAUUUGUUGUGGGCGUAGAUGUUGUCAACUUUCUUGCCGUUACUAGUCUUAUCUUGCUUCAACGGUAUUAUGGGAUGAAGCGGCCCGGACCAACCUUACACGUACGCUUACGUGAGACUGGUUCCACCGACUAACAUGCACUAGUUGCAUAAGGUGGCUGGCGGGUGUUUGUCUCUCCUACUUUAGUUGGAGCGGAUUCGAUGAAAAGGGUCCUUAUGAAGGGUAAAUAGAAGUUGACAAAUCACGUUGUGGCUUUCACGUAGGUAAGAAAACGUUCUUGCUAGAACCCUACUUCAGCCACGUAAAACUUGCAACAACAAUUAGAGGACGUCUAACUUGUUUUUGCAGCAAGUGCUUUGUGAUAUGAUAUGGCCAAAGUUGUGAUGAAUGAUGAAUGAUCUAUAUGUGAUGUAUGAGAUGUUCAUGCUAUUGUAAUAGGAAUCACGACUUGCAUGUCGAUGAGUAUGACAACCGGCAGGAGCCAUAGGAGUUGUCUUUAUUUUUAUAUGACCUGCGUGUCAUUGAGAAACGCCAUGUAAAUUACUUUACUUUAUUGCUAAACGCGUUAGCCAUAGUAGUAAAAGUAAUAGUUGGCGAGCAACUUCAUGGAGACACAAUGAUGGAGAUCAUGGUGUCAUGCCAGUGACAAGAUGAUCAUGGAGCCCCAAGAUGGAGAUCAAAGGAGCUAUGUGAUAUUGGCCAUAUCAUGUCACUGUUAUUAUUUGAUUGCAUUUGAUGUUUAUCAUGUUUUGCAUCUUGUUUACUUAGAACGACGGUAGUAAAUAAUAUGAUCCCUCAUAAUAAUUUCAAGAAAGUGUUCCCCCUAACUGUGCACCGUUGCGACAGUUUGUUGUUUCAAUGCACCAUGUGAUGAUCGGGUGUUUGAUUCAAACGUUCACAUACAACGGGUGUAAGACAGAUUUACACAUGCAAACACUUAGGUUGACUUGACGAGCCUAGCAUGUGUAUAGACAUGGCCUCGGAACACAGAAGACCGAAAGGUCGAGCAUGAGUCGUAUAGAAUAUACGAUCAACAUGAAGAUGUUCACCGACGUUGACUAGUCCGUCUCACGUGAUGAUCGGACACAGCCUAGUCGACUCGGAUCAUGUUAUACUUAGAUGACUAGCAGAGGGAUGUCUAUCUAAGUGGGAGUUCAUUGAAUAAUUUGAUCAGAUGAACUUUAUUAUCAUGAACUUAGUCUAAAAAUCUUUGCAAUAUGUCUUGUAGAUCAAAUGGCCAACGUAGUCCUCAACUUCAACGUGUUCCUAGAGAAAACCAAGCUGAAAGACGAUGGCAGCAACUAUACGGACUGGGUCCGGAACCUGAGGAUCAUCCUCAUAGCUGCCAAGAAAGAUUAUGUCCUACAAGCACCGCUAGGUGAUCCACCCGUCCCACAGAACCAAGACGUUAUGAACGCUUGGCAAACACGUGCUGAUGACUACUCCCUCGUUCAGUGCGGCAUGCUUUACAGCUUAGAGCCGGGGCUCCAAAAGCGUUUUGAGAGACAUGGAGCAUAUGAGAUGUUCGAAGAGCUGAAAAUGGUUUUUCAAGCUCAUGCCCGAAUCGAGAGAUAUGAGGUCUCCGACAAGUUCUUCAGCUGUAAGAUGGAGGAAAAUAGUUCUGUCAGUGAGCACAUACUCACUAUGUCUGGGUUAAAUAACCGCUUGACUCAGCUGGGAGUUAAUCUCCCGGAUGACGCGGUCAUUGACAGAAUCCUCCAGUCGCUUCCACCAAGCUACAAGAGCUUUGUGAUGAACUUCAAUAUGCAGGGGAUGGAAAAGACCAUUCCUGAGGUAUUUUCAAUGUUGAAAUCAGCAGAGGUAGAAGUCAAGAAGGAACAUCAAGUGUUGAUGGUGAAUAAAACCACUAAGUUCAAGAAGGGCAAGGGUAAAAAGAACUUCAAGAAGGACCGCAAAGGAGUUGCCGCGCCCGGCAAGCAAGCUGCUGGGAAGAAGCCAAAGAAUGGACCCAAGCCCGAGACUGAGUGCUUUUAUUGCAAGGGAAGUGGUCACUGGAAGCGAAACUGCCCCAAAUACUUAGCAGACAAGAAGGCCGGCAAAACAAAAGGUAUAUAUGAUAUACAUGUAAUUGAUGUGUACCUUACUAGUACCUGUAGUAGCUCCUGGGUAUUUGAUACCGGUGCAGUUGCUCAUACUUGUAACUCAAAGCAGGGGCUGCGGAAUAAGCGGAGACUGGCAAAGGACGAGGUGACGAUGCGCGUCGGGAAUGGUUCCAAGGUCAAUGUGAUCGCCGUCGGCACGCUACCUCUACAUUUACCUUCGGGAUUAGUAUUAAACCUUAAUAAUUGUUAUUUAGUGCCAGCUUUGAGCAUGAACAUUGUAUCGGGAUCUCAUUUAAUUCGAGAUGGCUACUCAUUUAAAUCCGAGAAUAAUGGUUGUUCUAUUUAUAUGAGAGAUAUGUUUUAUGGUCAUGCUCCUAUGGUGAAUGGUUUAUUCUUAAUGAAUCUCGAGCGUAAUGCUACACAUAUUCAUAAUGUGAGUACCAAAAGAUGUAAAGUUGAUAAUGAUAGUCCCACAUACUUGUGGCACUGCCGCCUUGGUCACAUAGGUGUCAAACGCAUGAAGAAGCUCCAUGCAGAUAGACUUUUAGAGUCUCUUGAUUACGAAUCAUUUGACAAGUGCGAACCAUGCCUCAUGGGUAAGAUGACCAAGACUCCGUUCUCAGGAACAAUGGAGCGAGCAACCAACUUAUUGGAAAUCAUACAUACUGAUGUGUGCGGUCCAAUGAGUGUUGAGGCUCGCGGUGGCUAUCGUUAUGUUCUCACCCUCACUGAUGAUUUGAGUAGAUAUGGGUACAUCUACUUAAUGAAACACAAGUAUGAAACCUUUGAAAAAGUUCAAGGAAUUUCAGAGUGAGGUUGAGAAUCAACGUGACAAGAAAAUCAAGUUUCUACGAUCAGAUCGUGGAGGAGAAUACUUGAGUUACGAAUUUGGCACACACUUAAGAAAAUGUGGAAUAGUUUCACAACUCACGCCGCCUGGAACACCUCAGCAUAAUGGUGUGUCCGAACGUCGUAAUCGCACUCUAUUAGAUAUGGUGCGAUCUAUGAUGUCUCUUACCGAUUUACCGCUAUCUUUUUGGGGCUAUGCUUUAGAGACUGCCGCAUUCACUUUAAAUAGGGCUCCGUCGAAAUCCGUUGAGACGACACCGUUUGAAUUAUGGUUUGGUAAGAAACCUAAGUUGUCGUUUCUAAAAGUUUGGGGAUGCGAUGCUUAUGUCAAGAAACUUCAACCUGAAAAGCUCGAACCCAAGUCGGAAAAAUGCGUCUUCAUAGGAUACCCUAAAGAAACUGUUGGGUAUACCUUCUACCUCAGAUCCGAAGGCAAGAUCUUUGUUGCCAAGAAUGGAUCUUUCUAGAGAAGGAGUUUCUCUCGAAAGAAGUAAGUGGGAGGAAAGUAGAACUUGAUGAAGUAUUACCUCUUGAACCGGAAAAUGGCGCAACUCAAGAAAAUGUUCCUGAGGUGCCUGCACCGACUAGAGAGGAAGUUAAUGAUAAUGAUCAAGAUACUUCUGAUCAAGCUCCUACUGAAAUUCGAAGGUCCACAAGGACACGUUCCGCACCAGAGUGGUACGGCAACCCUGUCUUGGAAAUCAUGUUGUUAGACAACGGUGAACCUUCGAACUAUGAAGAAGCGAUGGCAGGCCCAGAUUUCGACAAAUUGCUAGAAGCCAUGAAAUCCGAGAUAGGAUCCAUGUAUGAAAACGAAGUAUGGACUUUGACUGACUUGCCCGUCGAACGGCGAGCCAUAGAAAAUAAAUGGAUCUUUAAGAAGAAGACAGACGCGGAUGGUAAUGUGACCAUCUAUAAAGCUCGGCUUGUUGCUAAAGGUUAUCGACAAGUUCAAGGGGUUGACUACAAUGAGACUUUCUCACCGGUAGCGAAGCUAAAGUCCAUCCGAAUCAUGUUAGCAAUUGCCGCAUUCUUCGAUUAUGAGAUAUGGCAAAUGGACGUCAAAACGGCAUUCCGUAAUGGUUUCCUUAAGGAAGAAUUGUAUAUGAUGCAGCCGGUAGGUUUUGUCGAUCCUAAGAAUGCUGACAAGGUGUGCAAGCUCCAACGCUCGAUUUAUGGGCUGGUGCAAGCAUCUCGGAGUUGGAACAUUCGCUUUGAUGAGAUGAUCAAAGCGUUUGGGUUUACACAAACUUAUGGAGAAGCCUGUGUUUACAAGAAAGUGAGUGGGAGCUCUGUAGCAUUUCUCAUACUAUAUGUAGAUGACAUACUUUUGAUGGGAAAUGAUAUAGAACUAUUGGACAGCAUCAAGGCCUACUUGAAUAAGAGUUUUUCAAUGAAGGACCUUGGAGAAGCUGCUUAUAUAUUAGGAAUCAAGAUCUAUAGAGAUAGAUCGAGACGCCUCAUAGGUCUUUCACAAAGCACAUACCUUGAUAAGAUAUUGAAGAAGUUCAAUAUGGAUCAGUCUAAGAAGGGGUUCUUGCCUGUGCUGCAAGGUGUGAAAUUGAGCUCAGCUCAAUGUCCGACCACGGCAGAAGAUAUAGAAGAGAUGAGUGUCAUCCCCUAUGCCUCAGCCAUAGGUUCUAUUAUGUAUGCCAUGCUGUGUACCAGACCUGAUGUAAACCUUGCCGUAAGUCUGGUAGGAAGGUACCAAAGUAAUCCCGGCAAGGAACACUGGACAGCGGUCAAGAAUAUCCUGAAGUACCUGAAAAGGACUAAGGAAAUGUUUCUCGUUUAUGGAGGUGACGAAGAGCUCGUCGUAAGGGGUUACGUCGACGCUAGCUUCGACACAGAUCUGGAUGACUCUAAGUCUCAAACCGGAUACGUGUAUAUUUUGAAUGGUGGGGCAGUAAGCUGGUGCAGUUGCAAGCAGAGCAUCGUGGCGGGAUCUACAUGUGAAGCGGAGUACAUGGCAGCCUCGGAGGCAGCACAUGAAGCAAUUUGGGUGAAGGAGUUCAUCACCGACCUAGGAGUCAUACCCAAUGCGUCGGGGCCAAUCAAACUCUUCUGUGACAACACUGGAGCUAUUGCUCUUGCCAAGGAGCCCAGGUUUCACAAGAAGACAAGGCACAUCAAGCGUCGUUUCAACUCCAUUCGUGAAAAUGUUCAAGAUGGAGACAUAGAUAUUUGUAAAGUGCAUACGGACCUGAAUGUAGCAGAUCCGUUGACUAAACCUCUCCCUAGAGCAAAACAUGAUCAACACCAGAAUUCCAUGGGUGUUCGAUUCAUCACAUUGUAACUAGAUUAUUGACUCUAGUGCAAGUGGGAGACUGUUGGAAAUAUGCCCUAGAGGCAAUAAUAAAAGCAUUAUUAUUAUAUUUCCUUGUUCAUGAUAAUUGUCUUUAUUCAUGCUAUAAUAUUGUUAUCCGGAAAUCGUAAUACAUGUGUGAAUAACAGACACCAACAUGUCCCUAGUAAGCCUCUAGUUGACUAGCUCGUUGAUCAACAGAUAGUCAUAGUUUCCUGACUAUGGACAUUGGAUGUCAUUGAUAACGAGAUCACAUCAUUAGGAGAAUGAUGUGAUGGACAAGACCCAAUCCUAAACAUAGCUUAAAGAUCGUAUAGUUCGUUUGCUAGAGUUUUUCCAAUGUCAAAGUAUCUUUUCCUUAGACCAUGAGAUCGUGUAACUCCCGGAUACCGUAGGAGUGCUUUGGGUAUACCAAACGUCACAACGUAACUGGGUGACUAUAAAGGUAUACUACGGGUAUCUCCGAAAGUGUCUGUUGGGUUGACACAGAUCAAGACUGGGAUUUGUCACUCCGUAUGACGGAGAGGUAUCACUGGGCCCACUCGGUAAUGCAUCAUCAUUAUGAGCUCAAAGUGACCAAGUGUCUAGUCACGGGAUCAUGCAUUACGGUACGAGUAAAGUGACUUGCCGGUAACGAGAUUGAACGAGGUAUUGGGAUACCGACGAUCGAAUCUCGGGCAAGUAACAUACCGAUUGACAAAGGGAAUUGUAUACGGGGUUGCUUGAAUCCUCGACAUCGUGGUUCAUCCGAUGAGAUCAUCGAGGAGCAUGUGGGAGCCAACAUGGGUAUCCAGAUCCCGCUGUUGGUUAUUGACCGGAGAGUCGUCUCGGUCAUGUCUGCAUGUCUCCCGAACCCGUAGGGUCUACACACUUAAGGUUCGGUGACGCUAGGGUUGUAGGGAUAUGUAUAUGCAGUAACCCGAAUGUUGUUCGGAGUCCCGGAUGAGAUCCCGGACAUCACGAGGAGUUCCGGAAUGGUCCGAAGGUAAAGAAUUAUAUAUAGGAAGUGCUAUUUCGGCCAUCGGGACAAGUUUCGGGGUUAUCGGUAUUGUACCGGGACCACCGGAAGGGUCCCGGGGGUCCACCGGGUGGGUCCACCUGCCCCCGGGGCCCACAUGGGCUGUAGGGGGUGCGCCUUGGCCUACAUGGGCCAAGGGCACCAGCCCCAAGAGGCCCAUGCGCCUAGGGUUCACAAAAGGGAAGAGUCCCACUAGUGGAAGGCACCUCCUAGGUGCCUUGGGGGGGAGGGAAACCUCCCUUGGCCGCCGCCCCCCUAGGAGAUUGGAUCUCCUAGGGCCGGCGCCCCCCCCUUGGCCCUCCUAUAUAUAGUGGGGGAAGGAGGGCUUUUCAUCCACGCCUUUGGUUGCCUCCUUCUCCCUCUCCAACACCUCCUCCUCCUCCAUAGUGCUUGGCGAAGCCCUGACGGAGUACUGCAGCUCCAUCACCACCACGCCGUCGUGCUGCUGCUGGAGCCAUCUUCCUCAACCUCUCCUUCCCUCUUGCUGGAUCAAGAAGAAGGAGACGUUACGCUGACCGUACGUGUGUUGAACGCGGAGGUGCCGUCCGUUCGGUGCUAGGAUCUCCGGUGAUUUGGAUCACGUCAUGUUCGACUACCUCAUCCCCGUUCUUUGAACGCUUCCGCUCGCGAUCUACAAAGGUAUGUAGAUGCAUCCGAUCACUCGUUGCUAGAUGAACUCAUAGAUGGAUCAGUGUGAAACCGUAGGAAAUUUUUUGUUUUCUGCAACGUUCCCCAACAGUACCGCCCUGCCUCCGUGGUAGUACCGCUUGAUGGUCUCAGCAGUAGUACCAUUGCGGCUCCAUGCUCCUACUGCCUCGAAUCGAGUGCGCUUUUUCUCGUGUCGGGUUUUGCGGCACUUGCUGCGGUAGUAGUGGCGGUAGUACCGCUAAUAAGCGGUACUACCGCCCUGCCUCCACGGUAGUAUCGCUCUGGGUCCCAGCCCCAGCCCCUUUUCUUCUGGCGCGGCAGUACCGCUGAAGGGGAGCAGUAGUAUCGCUUAUGAGUGGUAGUACCGCCCUGCCUCCGCGGUAGUACCGCUCUCUGCGGGGCUGAGUGGGGGAUAACGGUUGGAUUUUCCCCCUCCUAUAAAAGGGGGUCUUCUUCCCCUUUGAACCUUAUCUUUUGAGCUCGUGUUCUUCCCCCAUUGUUGACCUUCUUUGAGCUUGCUAACUCUUAAUACCUCCAUGGAUUCUUGCUAGUUUUUGAGGGAAAAGAGAGAGGAGAUCUAGAUCCACAUUUCCACCAAUCACUUUCUCCUCUAUGUGAGGGGAACCCCUUGGAUCUAGAUCUUGGAGUUUUUGGUGUUCUCUUUCUUGUUCUUCCUCUCAUUUUCCUCCCUAGCAUUAGUUGCUUCGGUGGGAUUUGAGAGAGAAGGACUUGGGCACUCUGUGUGCCCUUGUCAUUGCAUUUGGUGCAUCGGUUUGAGUUCUCCACAUGAUACGUGGAAGUUACAAGUUGAGAAGCUUAUUACUCUUGGGUGCUUGGUACCCUUGAGCUUGUUCCUCUUGGGUGCUUGGGCGCCCUAGACGGUUGUUGGUGUUCGGAGCUCAAUCAUUGUGAUGCAAAGCUCCGAGUAAGCAUCGGGGUCUCCAAUUAGGUUGUGGAGAUCGCCCCGAGCAAUUUGACGGGUACCGGUGACCGCCCCCAAGGGUUGCCAAAGUGUACGGGUUCGGUGACCGCCCCCAAGGGUUGCCAUUUGUACGGGUUCGGUGACCGCCCUCAAGGGUCCCUUAGUGGAAUCACGGCAUCUUGCAUUAUGCGAGAGCGUGAGGAGAUUACGGUGGCCCUAGUGGCUUCUUGGGGAGCAUUGUGCCUCCACACCGCUCCAAACGGAGAUUAGCAUCCGCAAGGGUGUGAACUUCGGGAUACAUCGUCGUCUCCGCGUGCCUUGGUUAUCUCUUACCCGAGCCCCUUUUACUUAUGCACUUUACUUUGUGAUAGCCAUAUUGUUUCUUGUCAUAUAUCUUGCUAUCACAUAGUUGCUUAUCUUUCUUAGCAUAAGUUGUUGGUGCACAUAGGUGAGCCUAGUUGCUUUAGGCUUUGUGCUUGGCAAAUUAACCGCUAGGUUUAUUCCGCAUUUAUUCAAGCCUAAACCGUAAUUAUUUUAAAACGCCUAUUCACCCCCCCCCCUCUCUAGGCGACAUCCACGAUCUUUCAUGGAGUGACCAACAUCCGUUGGCAACCCUAAAUAUCUGUCACUCAAGGAUUCAUUGUGGAGAUUUAGACUUUGCAUGACACCUUUUUAAGAGAAUCUGGAUGACCUCUUUUUUUAGGGUCAAGCAUAGCUUGUAUAUUAUUGGUGCUCGGGCAGAUCACCCAAAGCACAAACAGCCACGUUGGAUGGGACAUCCGACUCCCACUCCACAGAGUGGUGUACAUCACAUAAGCGCCCAAGUUUGGCAAGCGCAUCAGCUACAGAGUUUACAUGUCUCUUACAGAGUAUUAUUUCAUGGUGUGAGAACCACAGCUUAAGUUGAAGCUUAGUAUCUUCAAUGAUUGCAGAGUAUGCCGAGGAGUCUACUUUCCCCAAGUCCAUGGCUUCCGCUAGCAAUUGGCAGUCCGUUUCGAAGAUCACCUGUAACAUACCCAUAUCCGCAGCAAAAGAGACAGCUUCGGCCAUAGCAUGAACCUUAGCCGCAAAGGCAUCAGCCACAAGUUCCUUCCUGCCAGCUCGUGCUCCCAGGAUAGUACCCGCCGCAUCUCUCGCCACCACACCCCAUCCAGCAUGUGACUCGCCUGGCAUGUGCGACCCGUCGAUGUUGAGCUUAAUCUUGUCAUUCGGUGGGGGUAUCCACGCAGAUUUGACUGGAGCAGCCCUUGCUUGUGCAUAGACCUGGUAAUAUUCCAUAGCGCAGCUCCUCGUCCUCCGCGCCACGUCCGCGGAUGACUCCGGCAUCUCUCCUUCCCUCACCUUAUUCCGGUUGCUCCACCACAGCCACCAGAAGGUAAGGAUUAGGAUGCGCUUUUUCUCAUCUAGCCCCCAAAGAAAGUCCAACAUCACAUGCACAGACGUGAUACGUUCCAGCUCCAUUCUUUCCUUCUCUAGCGACAGGUCCCUCCAGACUUCCUUGACUGCCUUGCAUUUGACGAACAAGUGUGCCCCGUCCUCCUCCACUCUUCCACAGAAUAGGCAUGUUUUAUCCUCAACUUGCAUACCUCUUCUCACAAGGUUAGUUCGCAAGGCCAGAGACUCAUGCUUUAUGCGCCAUGCAAACAUCUAAAUAUUUCUCAGGCAGGGUAGCUUCCAGAGUCUCUUCCAUGAAUCAUCAUGACAGUUAUCGAGAUUCCCCGGUAGGCCCGUGCUACUGCCCGCAUUGCCAUCACGCUCGUUCUUCUCCAACUGAACAUGCAAUUUGUAUGCACUCCUGACUGUGUGGUUUCCCUUUGCUUCGAAUUGCCAGGCAAUAAAAUCAACAACUCCUUCGCGGAGAGGGAUUUGCAUAAUAGAGGCUGCAUCAACUGGCCAAAAGGUAUCCCGGACGAGUUGUUCAUCCCAACUCCCCGUUAUGGGACUAAUGAGGUCAGAAACAAACUCAAGCAGGCUGGGCCCCCUUGGAGUUAAAACCUUCCGUGACCAAGGCCUAGGAAGCCACGGAUCAGACCAUAUCUGCACCUGUGUGCCCUCCCCAAUACGCCAAACGUACCCCUCCUUAAACAGAUCCAGCCCAUGAAGGAGACUUCUCCAUGAAUAAGAGAUUUCAUCCUUAGCCACGACAUCUAGAACAUGAGUGUUUGGAAAGUAUCGGGCCUUUAGAAUUUGAGCGCAUAGGGACUCCAGGUUUUAGAUCAAACGCCAGAUCUGCCGAGAAAGCAUAGCUAGGUUGAAGCUAUGCAUAUCCCUGAACUCGAGUCCUCCUUGAGCUUUAGACCGUGUCAAGUUUUC